CAGAGAAGUUGCAAGGCAAGUUGCUAAUAUUGAUCUGCCUAAGAAGGUUGCCAAGGAAUCUGUAAAAGACGGGAAAAUAGUUCAGGGUAUGAACGCAAAGCCGGCUGUGAAGUCGAGAUCAAAUGGCUCGGCUGGCAAUGGAAGGUGGGACCGUUUCAUUCACCUUGAAACAACUACAUCAAGCCAUACAUCGACUCCUCCAUCUGUUUAUCUUUUCAAUUUAGUCGUGGGUCUGUUUCUGUUCUUAAUCAUGCUCAAAGAAGUGCUGAUUGUUCACUGAGAGAAGCUUCUCUUAUAAGGCUAUCGUCAAGAGUUUCCAGUAUAACAAGAACACUUUAUUUUUUGCGAGAAAAGGUCAGCAAGAGGAGGACUUGAAAUCCCUAAAUCUUAAUAAACCCUCAACCAGCUGACAGAAUGGAUUUCUGUUUUUGCUAGCUUGUAUAUAUAUAUUGCCCCCUUCUCAUGGCUGCCGGGGCUAGACUGUAGUUACUGUUUGCUGUAUAAAUUAUAUCAUGUUAUAAUUAUUACAAGAAAACUCGAAAGAGCAUGGGUUUUUCAACGUAGCAAACUGCGGUGUCUAUUGUUUUUUAAUUGGGUCCUCAAUCUUUGUUUCUUUUCAAUUGCUUCCUUCAAUGCCUAAAUUCAUGGCUAAUUUAUCAAAAACAUUUAAGGAGGGACACAAUUAAAACAAAACGGCCAAAAUAUAAACCAAAGAGGAAAUGAGUGGUGGUUUCAAAAAUUGAACAAAAAAUAGUAAAAUGCAUUUCAGCUCUCAACUUUUAAAUAAAUAUUUUUAAUAUUAUAAUUAUUUUUUAAAAAAAUUAUUUAAAUAUAUAAGAAUUUCUAAAUUUAUUAUAAAAAACUUUUUACAACUACCGGUUAUUUUAUCUUAUCAGACAUAGGUACCGGCUACCACCAGUAAGCUGGGCUAUCAGAUUUGGGUUCACAGCAUCAACUCAAGGAAAUAAUGAGACAUGAUGACCAAAGGCCACAACCUUUUGAGCGAUCAAGUUUGUAGCCUCCUAGUUACAUGAUCAUCGCAAGUUGGACAAAUAAGUUCAAAUAUGGCCCUUUUUUUGUAGCAUCUAGGGUGGAGUCUGCUCAAUUUUUUUUUUGAAAAAAAAAUAAAACUACACGUCAUGGUUGAAAAUUUAAGAUUUUAAAUUUUUUUAUUUAAAAAUUUAUUUUUCAAUUCAUUUUGACCUAAAAACCUAAAAAACACUCUAAAUACCGUAAUAAAUCUAUCCAUAGCCUAAAAAAACUCAAAACAAUCAUUCCAAAAACCAAAAUUAAUUCAAAAACAAAAAAUCUUCCCAAGUUUAGAUAUAUUUUUUCAUGAACUUUAAAAAUAAAAAAAACCUAAUAUCUCCCUCGUCAAAUGAAACCAUUUGACAUAAAAUAUUGGCCUUUUAAUCGGUGUUAAAGAUAUUUUUUCUUUCUCCAGCGCAAGAAUCUGGCGACCUCUCUGUCUCAUCUUUCAAACUAGGAACUAAAAAUAACAAAAAUAAAUUUUUGUACCAAAAUUAAAUUGAGAAAAUAUUAAGGUACAAAAUAUGUAUAGUUUUGAAAGUAUAAGGGUUAAAUUAAACAUUUUGUGUGAAUUUUAAAACUAUCACCUAUAUGUGGUGCUUUUUCUACUUUGGUGCCAUGUCUUUUAAUUUUAUUUUUAGUCAAUAAAUUUGAUUUAAUUACCCUUGAAUUUAGCCUAAAAGGUUGCAAUUGCAUAAAAAAAAAAUUAAGGAUCAAAUUAAAAAAAAUUAUAAAUAGUAGGUUGAGAGGGUGCACAAUGUCAUCUCAAUAGUACUCAUUUCACAUGUUUUAGUAUUUUACUUAUAAUAAUUUCAUUUAAGAAAAAUCAUUAAAAUGACUUUAUUUUGAAAUUUACCAGUAUGAGACUUUAACAUGUAAAAUCCCAAACAGGUACAAUCACUAUAAUUCUACGGGGUUGUUUGAUAUUGUGUUCAAAAUGAUAUUCUCUAAAUUUUGAAAUUUGUUUUGUUUAAAAUUAUUUUUUUAUAUAUUUUUUAAAAUUAUUUUGAUGUGUUUAUAUCAACAAUGAUUUUUUAAAAAUAAAAAAAAUAUUAUUUUAAUACAUUUUUGAACAAAAAAUACAUUGAAAAAUAACCAUAACCACACUCUCAAACACCUUCUAAGUGUCCAUUUGGUAUUGAAGUUGAAUAAGCUUUUCGUCAAUUUUUUUUUUUUGCUUUAAUUUUUUUUAAAAUAUUUUUUGAUCGUUUUGAUGUGCUGAUAUUAUAAAUAAAUUUUAAAUAAUAAUAAUAAAAAUAUUAUUUAAAUAUAUUUUCAAAUAAAAAAUACUUUAAAAAAUAAUUUUUAUUACACUUCCAAACACCCUAUAAAACAACAAAAAAACAUGAAGGUAAGGGAAUGAGAUUAAGUGACCAAUGAAAAUUCAAUUUUUUUUAGCUUAAAUUUAAAUUUUUUUAUGUUUUUAUAUCAUUUUAAUAGGUUGAUUUUAAAAAUAUUUUUUUUUUUAAAAAAAAAUUAUUUUAAUAUAUUGAUAAAUAAAAAAUACUUUAAAAAAUAAUUUUAAAUUUUUUACAGAGUAAUUAUAAAUUAGUACUUUUUGCUCACAUAGACAAUUUUUAAGUUAUGGUAAUUUCAAAUUUUCAAAUGAAAAACCUUCUGUACUAAAUAAUUGAACAUGGUUUUUUUUUUUUCUUGUCAAUUCAGCACUUUUUUUCCAUUUUUUUUCUUGUGUAAUCUAAUUAAGAAAAUUAAAUAAAUGUGAUCACUCAAAAAAAAAAAACAUAUAAUAGAAGUCCUUGUUUUGCUAGGACACGUCACUGGAGUCUCCAGUUGAUUCAAUUGUAUUUGAAAGUGUGGCUUUCCCAAAUCCGAACCCAAUUUUUGUUAGCCAUCUGACCUAGUCCUUCUCCUAUAGCUUCUCAAGCAAGCUGGGCCCUCUGGGCUCCACUUGGAUUCGGAUUCCACCCAACUGAUGAAGAAAUCAUCAGUUUCUUUCUCAUGAUCUCAUCAAACGCAAGAUGGAUGGUUCUGAUUCUACUGUUGGCAAUGACAUUCCUGAAGCUGAUCUUUGCAAGUUUGAACCUCGGGAAUUACCAAGUAAAGUUUAAAGACCUCCAUCUUUUUUCCCCUUGUUUUGUUUAAGAAUCUUCAACGUUUUGGUUGUUUCUUAAGCUCUUCUAAGUAUUGAAAGAGGUUGAUUUUAUACUAACUCUUACGUAUGAUGGACAAUAUGGACAGGACAGUACUAGAUAUUACUGGAUUGAAUAUAUAAUUAUAUUGUAUUGUGUUUGGUGUGUUUUGGAUUGGAUUGGAUAAUUUGUUUUAUUUUAUGUUUGCUAGAUAUUAGAUGGGACUCGACCAACCCGAGAUCUAGAUUGUUUUGAGUUUAAAAAAGGAUUGAUCUUACUUCAUCUGGUCAAAAACUCGGAUCAACUCAAAAUAAAUACGAGUAAAAAAUCUAUUGACUUUUUUAUAUAUUUCUUUGGUCAAAACGAGGCUGUUAUAUUUGUUUUUGAAUUUGAGUCAAUCCGAUAAGGUUGAUCUCCAAGUCAAGUUUUAAAAUUAUAAUAAUAAUCAUUUUUAUUCUUACGUUACUCUGGGUCAACCCAAGUUGACCAUUCCAACCCAUAACAUAAGCCUUGUCUCAGGUUGACUUUUUAGUUAAGUUUUAAAACUAUGAUGAUAACUAUUUUUAUUCUUACGUUGACUUAGGCUAAUGAUCAACUCGAUCCAUGACCCGAGUCUGGCCCUGGGUUGUGACCCGAGAUUAGCUCUAGAUUGACCUCCGAGUUAGGUUAUAAAAUUAUGAUAACAACUUUAAUUUUUAUGUUGACCCAAAUCAUUGGUGAACGCGACCCGUGACCAGAGGCUGGUCCCAAAUUGAUCCUCAAGUUGGGUUUUAAAAUUAUGAUAAUAACCAUUUUUAUCUCUAUAUUAACCUAGGUUAAUGGUCCUGGUUCGCGACCCGAGCUUUGCCAUAAGUCGACUUUAGAGUUGAGUUUUAAAAAUAUAAUAAUAAUAAUUUUUAUCAUUACAUUGACUUGGGUCAAUAAUCAACACGACAUGUGACCCGAGCUUGGCCCCAGAUCGACCAUCUAGUCGGGUUUUAAACUUUGAUAAUAAUCAUUUUUAUUAUCACGUUGACUUGGGUCAAUGGUUAACUUGACUCGUGACCCGAGCCUAGCCCAGGGUUGACCUUUAAGUCAGGUUUGAAAACUAUGAUAAUAACCACUUUUAUCCUUACGUUGACUUGGAUCAAUGGUCAACCUGACUCGUGACCCGGGCCUGACCUUAAGUCUAACCCCGGUUCAGGUUUUAAAACUAUGAUGAUAAUUAUUUUUAUCCUGAUUUUAACCUGGGUUAAUAGUCCUGACUCGCGACUGGCCUCGAGUUGUCCCUGAGUCAAGUUUUAAAAUUAUAAUAAUAAUUAAUUUUGUUCUUAUAUUCACCCGAAUCAAUGGUCAACUCGACCCAUGAAUCGGGCCUUGUUCCGGUUUAACUCUCAAUCGAGUCAGGUUUUAAAACUAUGACAAUAACCUUUUUUAUCCUUGCGUUGACUCGGGUCAAUGGUCAACUUAACCAGCAUCCUUCGUCUUGCCCGGGUUAGCUUUUAGUCAAAUUUUAAAACUAUAAUAACAAUCAUUUUUAUUAUUACCAUUGAGCUGAAUUAAUUAGAUUGACUCUUGUACAGAAAAUUAGACAAGCUUAUUCUAUCCCUUUUAGGAAGACAAAAACUACUCCAUUAAAAUAGCAAUUUUUGUAAAUUUUAUACUGUAUAAAAGUACCUCAACCAACUCCACAACAAUUAUCAUGUUCAGUUCAUCAAAACAAACACUACCUUAAUAUCCUAAUAGCCGAAGAGUCAACAGAGCAACAAAAGCUGGAUACUGGAGAUCAACUGGAAGGGAUCGUAAAAUAAAGACUAGGCGAACCAAGGAAGAGAUUGGAACAAAAAAGACUCUGGUUUUUCAUGAAGGUCGCGUCCCUGACGGUAUUAAGAGUCUUCAUGGAAUGAGGUUUUUGGUUGUAUAUUUUUACUGUGGGGGUUCAGGAAUCUCUCCUGUGACAUUUUGUGAUUAUAUAAUUUUUUAUUUAUUUGAAUGUUAAUGCUAUGAAAUUGGUAGUCUCAAAAGUCAAAUGGUUUGAGUUUUCUGCUUGAUUUUCAAUAUUUGGUCCGUGUUCAGAAGCUUUAACUUUGUGCAGAAUGUUCCGAGCACCUCUGUCAUAAGAACCCAGUUCAUCAGAGAUUGCAAGCUUAAUUACUUGUUAAAGAAACAAAAGGGACCAAUUGAAUUUUCUACUUGUGUAUAGGAAGGUCGUUGAGGUGAUUAAACGAAAUGCAGGUAGUAGGAGUGGUUUCAGUGUAUGAUUUUUGUUUGUUCUGUGCUCUUUUUUUUCCCUUCUCCGGCCAUAGAAAUUUAGUAUUAUGUAUGGGUGGCUCACAUUCAUGCAACUCACUGGCGCAUAAAUUGUUUUGUUCUUGAACUCUUGCAGAGGGCUCUCACUGUCUGUAAAUUGAAGGAAAAGGGGAAUGGGAAUACUGAUAUUCAGGCCUGUGAUGAAGGUGAAACGAGUAGCAUAGGAACUGAAACCAGCUCAAUUGCUUUUUUUUCUUAAAUCUUAAUUUGAAUAGCAAAUUGAAUUCAUUUCAAGGAACCGAAAGAAAGACAUGAAAAACUUACAAAUGAAAUUUCUCCCCAGCUGAAAAAGUAGAGAUAGAACAGGCAACUAGAAUGAGAGGUCAUAUUGCUACCGAUCUUGCAGUAGAGCGGUAAGAUUAACUUUCAUGGGAAGGGGUGCACGGAGCAAGCAUAUAUAGUGGCUUGCAAUUUAAACCAUUCAGCUCUUUAACAAAAUUGACUCCCUUGAAUCACUUGCAUUGAUGUGGCUGCUAUUUCACUGCAAUGCUCUUAAUCAUUAAACGUUCACUGCUUUCUCCCAGGACACUUCGGUGCGUGCAUGCUUUAUCAGCAGAUUCGUCACUCCAACAACUUUGAAGAGCGCCAGCUUUAAAAAGACUCAAGCAGCUUUGAAGGGGCUCCAAGACAAUAACAUUUCCAGAAUGUUGAUUUUUGCAAUUUUGGCUAUCAAAUUUGCACAACUCAUGUUCAGCAGUGAACCAAAAUUGGCAUUUUAACCAAAAUGGCUAGCGUGUCAUGAUGUGCUUGAAUACGAGGAAGAUGAACAAUACUCGAUGAUUUAAAAUCUCAAUGAUCUCUGAGUGGAUAUCUGAGUGACAAGCAACUUAACAGCAUGUGCACAGAAGCAGGCCGCAAUGCAUCUAUUCAUAGCUGACUCACUGAUCACUGCUUCAUAAAAAGAGCAAAAGUGUGUGAAACUAUAAUGCUCAUUUCAACUUGAUCAAUAAUCCACCAAGAAUCUACUAAAAAAAAAGAAAGGAAAAAAGAAAGAAAAGAAAAAUCAACUAGCAAUGUUCUAACAUUUGACAGAACAUAUCCACAUGACAAAUGUACUUCACAAAAGCAGGAAAGCGGGCAAUAUUCAGCGAAAUAUUUGGGAACUUCAGUAUUAAGAACUGAAACAGCAGAAAACUAGAAUGAGUAAUAAAUUUAUGAAAGUACAUUUCUAAAUAUCUUAUAAGUCAAUUGGAAUGUUUGAACUUUCUGCUAAUUGUGCAUACAAAUACCUGCAGACCUGGAUACUCAGCUUUCGGCUAAGGAUAUUUUCAAUAUAACAAGGACAUAAAUAAAUAAAUACUUACAGUUGUUACAGCAACCAUAUGCUAUGUUUGAAGUAUUGACAGUUCACAUUCGGGAUAUAUUGCUACAUAAUUGUCUACAUUUUUUGUUUCAUACUCAAACAUAGGCAACAGAUUCAUGCCAGUCCAUAGAAUGUUUUUCUGUAAUUAGAAAAAUCAGCAUCUACACAAUAGUACAUGCUGAGACUUCUUUGAGCAUCAACACAAGCAUGAUAUAACAAUAACAACUAGUAUGGUGCUACCAUAAAAACUGAUGAAUAAAGGUUAAGCAUACUUGUAGAGGACAAUAAAUGAUUUAUCUAACCUUUUAAUGCCACUGUGUUGGAUGAUAAAACAAAUAAAUCAAUGAUGAAAAUUACAGAAAAUGGAAAUUCCCAAACCUGAAAAAUGAAUAUUCAGAAAAGUUAGAUUAAACCAAACUCAAGCUUAUACAUUAAACAAGAACCAAUGCUUAGAAGAUUACAGAAGCUGAAAGUGAAAAAGUUAUGUUCAAUUUGCUUUUCAUUAAGCCGCAUUAAGAAGCCAUACCAUUGUGGCAAUAAGAAAAAUCUUGAAGUGACUUGAAACUAGGACUGCAAGCAAAAUGUCUCUGCACCUGCCAACAGCAGCAUGAUAAAUCUCAAAGUUGGUAACAAAAACAACUUUUCUCUAUCUUGCCUUAUUUUGGCCAUUUCUCCUCAAUGAUCUUAGACAUCUGUAUCACCCAACUCUCUCAUAAGACUCCCAAACGAAUACCUCUAACUCCUUACAAUAUGAAUACCUCUAACUUCUUGCAAGUGCAAAAUAUUGAAUUUUAUUUUCUGAUCAAUCCAUAUAAAUAAUACUAAGAUUCUAGUUUCAAAUAGAGGAUAGGUGUAUGUAUCGUACGUACAACAAGUAGUGAAUGUUCACACAAACCUAAACCUCUGCAACCAUGUCUUCAUCCAUCCCAGUUAAUUAUUAUUCACACAUGAAACCAGUUUUUUAGAUAAUUAUACUAGUUUAGAAUUAAAGCCUCACCCCCAGGCAAUCUCCAUUAUGAGCUUGAACCAAAACAACAAGGAGCAGCACACAUGGCAAUUGCUAUUAGGGCCUCACACCCGUAAUAAUGCAAGUCCAAGAAGUAUAUUAAAGAAAUAAACAGCUUGAUACUGAAGCAAACGUUUACCUGGAGAUUUCAAUCGAUGUGUUUAGUAACAGCCUCAUUGAAAGAAGAACAACACAGAUAAACAUUAAGUUUCCAACAAAGACAUCCACAAGUAUCUGCAGAAGAAAAUACUUAACCCACUUUUCAAGCAGCACAUAUAAUCCAACUCCAACUUUAAAACUGAAAUUUAUGUUCAAUUCCCACCAUCAUUGCUAACCUCUUGGAAUGUCGAAACAAUUGAAGAAAAGCUCAUGGAAGAACCCCACUCUCCCUCGUUUCUUUUCAAAAGAAGACUUCUAUCUUUGAUCAUUAAGGCAUACAACACCAUUUCGUACCACAAGUUUAAAGGAGUAUUUAAGUAUUCAAAGAAAAUAACCAAGACAAGAAAUGGAUACAAGCAUCCAAAAGAAGAAACACAAAGAUUGACUUCCAUAACAAACCCUGCAAAGCAGCCCUAUGUUAGUGUUAAUAAACCGUAUUGAUCAAAUCAAUGAUUACAAACACUGAAACAGAAAGUACAUAAUCAGUUAUAAGUUUCCCCCCACAAAAAAAAAAAAAAAAUCUGAUUAGAAGCAAUAAUAUCCUUAAAGCAUCCUGGAAAACACUCACUAUAAACUGUAAGAAGUAAACAUAACUAAAGGAAGCAGUUUGUACCUCAAAAUUGACCCUACGCUGAUUGAUUACACUGAAGAGAAGAUGUCUAUACGCUUUUGUCUUGUGCAGAAUCAAAUCAAUCAAAAUAAUCUACACCCAUUAACCCCGCGCCAAAAAAAAAAAAAAAACUCUAAAUCUUCACUAAGGGAACCAAAAAAAGAAAUGAUAAAAAACAAUCAAAGACAAGUCAAGAAUCAAAAGGGUAUAAGAAUUUCACCAUGAAUUCACAUUCGAUGUACUCGUCUGCAACUGCUUCGCAAUUCGCCUGCAACAGGAACAAAUCUUUUCUUUUAAAAAAGAUAAAGUUGGGAAAUUUAAAAUGGAAAUUAAAAUUUUAUAAACGAGAGAGAGAGAAAGAGAGAGAUUUACACAUCUCAGGAGUCGAAUGUUGCCUGGUGAGUAUUGGAGGAAAAGAGUUUCUAUCGGGAAUCCACACUCUACACAUCUAUGCUCCAUCUUUUUUAACUACUCCCUCGUAUGCGUUCUGCAACUUCCCCCCCUCUUUUAUAUAUAUUCCCCCUUGGUUAUAUAUAUAUAUAUAUAUAUUAGUUAAAUAACCUGCACGAUGCUGCGGGUUAAUUUUUUUUUGCAUAAAAAAUAUCUAAAAAGCUAAGAUCUAAAAGCAUUAGGUCUUUUUGUAAAGCUAUACCCAAUAAUCUUGGAUUUUACUACAACGUCUGACCUAAAAGUAAUAUUUAUAAUAUUAAUAAUAAUAUUAAACUUGCAUGAUCAAAAUUUAAGUGAGUUUGACUGCAAUAUUAAACUCAAUAGCCUUGGAUGUGGGUCUAGUUGCAAGGUCGUAUCAUAAAAUUGUGAUAAUUAAAUAGAUUAAGUAAAAAGAAAAAAAACAUAGAAAAAAAAAAACCAACAUGAAGAAAAAGAAAAUAAAUCUGAACUAACUGGGUUAACCCUUCAAACCAAGUUAAUCCGUCAAACAUUGGAUUCGUGUCAUGAAAGUUUGAUAACUAAAUAAUAAUAAUAAAAAAUUGACGGGUUAACCCAGAAUUAACUGGGCUAACAUGUUAAACCCGGGAUCCAUGUCAUAAAAGUUUGAUAACUAAAUCGAAAAAAAUUUAAUAUUAACAAACUAAAAUAAACAAAAACAAUUAAUUAAAAAGAAAAAAAAACAAAAGACAUCGGUUUUCACUAUGGACUAUACUAUGCAAUCCAUAGUCAAUGGCAUAAAAAAGGCAACAAAGCAAAAAAAAAAAAAAAAAAAAAACUAACUGGGUUAAAAGAAAAAAAACCUAUAGAAAGAAAAAAAAACUAAUGAAGAAAAACAAAAAAAAUCUAAAUUAAAUGGGUAACCCGUCAAACCCGAGAUCCGUGUCAUGAAAGUCUGAUAACUAAAUAGAAAGAAUUUUAAUAUCAACAAACUAAAUUAAAAAAAAUUAGUUAGAAAGGGAAAAACAAAGAAGAAAAACCUAUACGGAGAAAAAAAAUAAUUAAAAAAAAUCUGAAUUAACUAGGCUAACCUGUCAAACAUGAGAUCCAUAUCAUGAAAGUCUUAUAAUUAAAUAGAAAAAAAAUUAACAUAAACAAACCAAAUUGUUUUAAAAAAUAAAAAGUGAAAAAAAAAACGUAUCAACCUUUUUAUUGUGGACUGCACUGUGCAGUCCAGAGUCAAAGACAUAAAAACGGCAAAAAAACAAAAAGAAGAAAAAACUAAAGGCACCAAUCGAUAACUAAAUAGAAAAAAAUUUAAUAUUAAUAAACUAAAUUAAACAAAAAAAUAUUAAUUAAAAAGAAAAGAAAAGAAAAAGCUAUUAGAAGAAAAAACUAAUGAAGAAAAAGGAAAAAACAAUCUAAAUUAACCAGUUUAACCCUUCAAACAAGGUUAACUCAUCAAACCUAGGAUUCACGUCAUAAAAGUUUGAUAACUAAAUAGAAAAAAAAAAUUGACGAGUUAACCUAGAAUUAACUCGGUUAACCCGUGAAACCAGGUAACCCGUCAAACUCGGAAUAUGUGUCAUGAAAGUCUGAUAACUAAAUAGAAAGAAAUUUAACAUUAACAAACUAAACUAAACGAAAAAAAUUAAUUAAAAAGAAAAAAAAGCAAAAAAAAAAAAACUUCGAGUUACCUUGUUAAAUCAGGUUAACUCGUUAAACCCGAGAUUUGUGUUAUGAAAGUCUGAUAACUAAAUAAAAUUUUUUUUAGUACUAACAAAAGAAAAAAAAAUAAAAUGGAUGGGUUUACCCAGAAUUAACUGGGUUAACCCGUAAAACCAGGUUAACCAGUAAAACCUGAGAUGUGUGUCAUGAAAGUCUGAUAACUAAAUAGAAAGAAAUUUAAUAUUAACAAACUAAACUAAACACAAAAAAUUAAUUAAAAAGAAAAAAAAGCAAAAAAAAAAACUUCGGGUUAACUCAUCAAACCAAGUUAACCUGUUAAACUCGAGAUCCGUGUCAUGAAAAUCUGAUAACUAAAUAAAAAAAAUUAACAUUAACAAAGGAAAAAAAAAAGGACGGGUUAACCCGUGAAAUCUGAGAUAUGUGUCAUGAGAGUCUGAUAACUAAAUAGAAAGAAAUUUAACAUUAAUAAACUAAAGUAAACGAAAAAAAUUAAUUAAAAAGAAAAAAAGCAAAAAAGUUUUUUUGGUUAACUCGUGACACCAAGUUAACCUGUUAAACCCGGGAUCAGUGUCAUAAAAGUUUAAUAACUAAAUGAAAAAAAUUAACAUUAACAAACUAAAUUAAAAAAAUUACUAAAAGAAAAAAAACUGAAAGGCAUAGAAAAAAAAUAAAAUAAAUAAACGAAAAAAAAAAACAGUUUUUUUUAAGAAAAAGACAGCUCAAAAACAGAAACAAAAACAAAAAAAAUCUGAUAACUAAAUAGAAAGAAAUUUAAUAUUAAUAAACUAAACUAAACAAAAAAAUUAAUUAAAAAGAAAAAAAAGGCAAAAAAAGAAAAACUCCGGGUUAACUCUUCAAACCAAGUUAACCCGUUAAACCCGGGAUUCGUCUCAUGAAAAUCUGAUAACUAAAUAAAAAAUAAAUUUAACAUUAACAAAAAAAAAAACACAAUAAAAAAUGGACGGGUUAACCCGUGAAACCUGAGAUAUGUGUCAUGAGAGUAUGAUAACUAAAUAGAAAGAAAUUUAACAUUUAUAAACUAAAGUAAACGAAAAAAAUUAAUAAAAAAGAAAAAAACAAAAAAAAAUCUUGGUUAACUCGUGAAACCAAGUUAGCAUGUUAAACCGGGAUCACUGUCAUAAAAGUUUGAUAACUAAAUAAAAAAAAUUAACAUUAACAAACUAAAUUAAAAAAAAUUAUUAAAAGAAAAAAAAAUAAAGAAAGAAGAAAAAAAUUUGAAAGGCAUAGAAAACAAAAAAAUAAUAAAAAAAUGAAAAAAACAGUGUAUUUUAAGAAAAAACAGCUAAAAAACAGAAAAAGAAAAAAAAAAUAGCUCAGCUUUUUACUUUGAAUUGUUACAGUAAAAAGCUGAGCAAUUUUAGAAUAUUUCUUAUUUAUGAGUGUUCUCUUCCAACCUUUAUCUAUUUGGGGCGUAAGUCCAAAUAAUAUAGGUCUAAUAUGUACCUUGAGUUUUCUGAAAGCAGCCAUACCAGGAAUAUCUUUCUUAUGGAUGAUUGCAAUUUUUUUUGGUUAAUGACAAAAAAUUAUUUCCAAAAUUUUAACCAUUCAUGAUCGUAAGCAUAUUCCAUUCUAAAUUUAUAAUUAAUUUUUUGAGCUCGAAAGGAGAUACUUAUGCCUUAUUCAAAUUUCUAGAGACUCAGUAGUUGAAAUUUGAUUUUCAAAUUCCUUUGUUAAUAAGUAUAUUUGAAAAUAUUAUUAUGAUUAUUUUUUAAAAUAUUUUUCAUGCUAAAAUACAUUAAAAUAAUAUUUUUUAUUGUUUAAAAAUUAUUUUUAAAAUCAACACAUCAAAACGAUCCAAAAUAAAUAAAAAGACAGUGUGGUAGCGGUUGCUUUUUAAAUAAUUUUUCGUGUCGAAAUAUAUGGUAAUGCUGUUUUUUUAUUUUUUAAAAAUUAUUUUUAACAUCAGCACAUCAAAACGAUCCAAAAAGUACAAACCGAACUCAAUUUUAGCAUUAUUCAAAUUUCUAGAGACUCAGUAGCUGAAAUUUGAUUUUCAAAUUCCCUGGUUAAAAAAAAAGAGAGUUAUAUUCUGUUCGUGUUUUAUUGCUUAAACUAAAAUAAAUGUAUAAAAAUGAUCUCUUUCUCUAUUUUCAUGGAAAAUCAACUUUUUAAUAUCUUUGCAGACUAACAUUUCUAAAAUUAAAACAACAAAAAAUAAAUUAAGGUUGAAAAGGGAAGAAGAUUUUUAUUAUUUGAUUUUUAUAUUAUUAUUCUAACAUUCUCAAUGCAUGUUCUCACCUUACCAUCCUCUUGUAAUCAAGAGUUUGUGCGCACGCGCACCCACACAUACACAAAGAGACAGCCAGGCAGGGAGACGGCCUCCAUCUCCUAACUAGAAGAACCGUACGUUGAUGAGUUGUGUCAAGAAUUUUGUUAGGGUGUUGGGUCAAGGCUAGAACCGAGCCUAAGAUUUUCUCUCAAGACCUUUUUCAAAAGCGUUUCAAAUCGAGAGCAGACUAGUUAAUUUUAUUAAGAAGGCCUAGGAAUUACAGCACUCAUGCAAGCAUAAUUAUACCCUCGAUCGACAUAGCUGAAAAAGGAUUGGAAUUUAGGACAGAUUCUUGGUGCCUCGGAUCACUCUGUGUCUGUUUCGGGCGUUGUCGGAGUCAUUGAUGGCUUCCAAUUCGACCUAUUCUGACCCUGUCGUUUUCUACCUCCAUUCUACCCUGUCGUUUUCUACCUCCUACCACUUUUUUUUUUUUUUUUAAUACCUUCUUGCUAAUACUUUUUAGAGUGGGUUUGACAGUGUGGUAGCGGUUGCUUUUUAAAUAAUUUUUCGUGUCGAAAUACAUGGCAAUGCUGUUUUUUUAUUUUUAAAAAAUCAUUUUUAACAUCAGCACAUCAAAACGAUCCAAAAAGUACAAACCGAACUCACUUUUAGCAAAAAAAAAAAAUUUUUAAAUUUGAUGAAACACCGUUUUGAACGCAAAUUUAAUGAGCUACAUACUUUUAAGUUUGUUACUUUCAAUUUUUUUAGAAAUAAUAUUUUUAUUAUUUUUAAAAAUUUAUUUUUAACAUCAAUACAUUAAAAUGAUCUAAAAAUACUAAAAUUUUAUUUUUAAAUAAAUUUUUUUAAUUUUUUAAAAAUAAUAUUUUUAUCCUAAAAACAAAAUUAACAAGUUUGAUUUGACAAGAAAAAUUGUAGCUGUAAUUUUUUUUCUCCAUCUUGUUAAGUAGAAAAAAAAAUCAUUCCUCUAAAUUAGUGUGGAGAAAAAUUAGAAAGGAUGAUUGACUACGGUGAAUAUAUAUUAGGAAUUAAAUUAGGUUUGAAAAUUCCAAAUUCGAUUAAAAACAUUCCUUUUUUUCUUAAAAAUAAAAUAAAAUUAAAAUCUAAGACAGCUUAGUGCUACAUCUACAAAAAUAAGACGAAGGGGGUUAAUUGAUUGACAUAUUUAAAAUCCCAAGAAUGGUUUAAUUAUAUAUUUUGUUCUAAUUUAUUCGAUUUUGAUAAGCUACAGAAACGUACUGCUUAUAAUUACUCGCCAUUAUGAUCUAGCUAAAGCCAUGUAUGCUACAGACAUCCAGGUCCAAUCCAUCCUCCAUCGACGCUAGCUGCUCUUGGACUGGACUCCUUGCUCAGAUGGCUUGUCUUAUGAUGUGCUCUAAUCUCAAUAAUAAAAGAUUACCAGCCAUUAACAGGAUUACAUGGACUCCAUCAAUGGAAAAACUAAUUGCAGAGAGUCUUAAAAAAUGAUUACAGUGAGGCGAUGAAGACGAAAAGCCAUCAAUUCUCUCAAGUUAUUUUUCGUAUUAAAGAAGUAAAAGCAGAGGCAGGGAGGUGAACCAGAGAAAGGAGAAAGCAAUAGGAGGGAAGGGCAUGCGGUACUUGAUGCAUUAAAUGCACAGAAACAAGAACGUGGUCCAUGCAGGUUUAGCUACACAUAUACCAGUGCUGUACAUCACCCCCGUUCCUAAUUUUGAGACUGGAAAAAAACAAAGGACUAAACAGUGAAGCAACUUUAAUCUCUUUUGCUUUCCUUUGUACCAGCUAUGGCUCACACAUGUAGCCUCUUUAUCCUCAUCAAUUAUGCCUAUUAAACCUAACCUACAUAUACUGUCUUUAUAGGCCGGGAGGGGACUUCAAUUUCAAGACUUUGAGCAUAGGAAUCUUGUGAGAGAAAUCAAUGAAUCUCUUACGGCUAUAAUUCGACCAAGUUGCUGAUGAAUCUUUAUGUCAGUGUAUAAUUGUGCCCAUGGUGCUUUCUUACGACUAUAUAUAUAUAUAUAUAUGUAUGCUUAUUGCCCCAAUACAUCUCCCAGCAUCCUGCAUUCAUCAGCUUUAUCAGAUGUAGUGUGAUUAUUUAGCUUUUAAUAUAUCAGGCACCCCGUCAUUACUGGAAUUGUAUGAGGCAGCUCUCUUUUUUCAUUUUCAUUUUCUUAUUUAUUUUGAGAAUAUAUACUUGUAUGGCGAAAUAUUAAUUAAGUGCAAGCUGUGAGUGUACAUGCCCCACACCAUCAAGAUUCGCGUAUUGAAUUUGGUCCGUUCUCUCAAGAUCGAGCUAGCUAUACAGUUGCAGGAAUAUUUGUGCAUCAAUGGUAAUUAAGAUGGGUAAGCAUGCAGGCUGUUCUGGGUUUUCUCUCAAUUAUAAAUGCAUGGUACUGUAGACUCUAGCUCGGCAUCUUUGAAGCAUAUCUACAAGAUCAGGGAAAUCAGCAGUGCACCUCUAUGUGCCUGUUUUCACCAUUUAUAGUUUGCUCUUUAGCUGCCAUUUCUGUUCAUCUACAGUAUGAAAUUUUAACUAUAUCUCAAAGCUUGCGCUUCAAAACUAGCUAGGUAGUGGCAUGAUUCCUAUAUCUAUAUAUAUAUAUAUAUAUAUACACGCAUAAAUAUAGUGGCACAAUUCCCAACAUGAGAUAAUGUAAUAUUCUGCAUUGAUUCGAGAUUAUUUUCAAUGUAACGUUGCUUCGAUCUGGAAAGCCGAAUAAAAGCAUAUAUAAAGAAACAUGUGUGCAGGUUUGAGGCCAAAUUAGGUAAAUAGUACCCAAGAAAUACAAGUGGGUCGCACAUCCUAGCUAGCUCUUGGCUCAUAUGGCAAAGAGUACUGAUCAGUUGCAACCCCCUAACGGGUACACAUCCUGGCUAGCUAGAGCUUGCCUUCGAACUCGGCGAUUGCAUUCUCAUAAUCAAACUGUAGAAGAAACGUAAAUUAAGAAUAUAUCUCGAAAUUAAACCACUGAUCCGGAUAUAAAAGGAACUUCUCAGCAGUUUCUUACAGUAGGUUAGCUAUCUGGGAGGGAGAUUGUACAUGCCAAAACUCUAUUCCUCAAAAAAUAUAUAUAUCAUCGUUUUGCUUGGAUGCAAAAUGUAUAAUAGAGCAUUUCUGAUACGUGCAGCAGGAGGAUGAUCGGUGUAAGAUCAUGUAACUCAGUUUAGGGCUGCACAAAUCAAACUUAAUUAAGAAGGAAUCAAUUAAUGAUGCAUCAUCUUAAAUUAAGAAAACACUUACCGACAAGAUGAUCGUAUAUAGAAGGAAUGAUAGAUUGAAGGGCUCAUUUAAUAACAUAAUCCCAUUGUGCAAGCAACUGAUAAUAAAAACAUAAAAAUGAUGACAUAUAACACAUCAACAGCAUAUACAUUAAUUUUGCUACAAAUCAUAAGACACCUUGGAAUCUGGUGGUUAGUGGAUUUCCUCCCCACUAAUCAUCUGAGGUUUGAAUUUGAGGGCAGGUCACAAGAAAGAAUAUAUAUAUAUAUAUAUAUAUCUGUGAUUACAUUAGUCUGGAUGUGGAUAGCUUACUUAAAAUAUGACUAAGAUAAUAUAUCGGCUAGAUUUGUUCACAUGAUUCAGAUGAAAGAAGCAUGAAGUAUAUAUAUCUGCUCAGGAUUUGGUUGAUAUCAUAUCCCAUCAUUAAAUCUUCACUUUCUGUGAUAUAUUCGAAUUUGAAUCUGUAAUCCCCUAUUGCGUUUCAUAAUGAAAAACUUAUAAUUCGUUAUUUAUCUCUAAUCGUGGACAGUAUUUUCUAAUUGGGAAAACAUUCAACUAAUUUUAUCACCAAUUCCCAAAGGUAUUUUUGCCAUGCAAAGCAAAUGGACUCUCAUACAUACAAAAACAUCGUUGGUCUGAAGAAGAAGAAGAAAUGUGUAAUUAUAUAGCUUUAUGGAGCAAUUUUACAUUGAACAUACAGUAAUUAUCGAAUAUUAUUGCUAAUCAACUGCUUAAAUUUGAUUCGAUGAAUGUCUUCUGUUUUCUUUUAGUGAAAAACAGUUGGUUCCAUAUGAUGGAUCCAUAGUCAAUGGCCGCAAUCACGUUUUUUUUUUCGUUGCAGCAGCCGUGCUUUAAUGGCUUUUCUUCUUCUUUUUCUACUUUUUUGGCUAUCUUCUUAUUAGCCAAAAGUUAAUAAAAUCUCCACAAUUGUCUAAAAGAGGCCGUUUUACUGUCUAAAUUAUCAAAGCUUCAACUACUUUAAUUGAAGCCGUGACUCAGGUGUCCAAAUUAAUCAAUGGAUGAGUUUGCGGCUUCAGACAAUAUCUUAGGCACAUCAAUCUCUUUGACCAUAACGUCAUGCUUCCCAAAUUAAGUAUACCAAUGUACAUAAUUAAUUACAUGUACUCAUCGAAUUACUAACAGUAAUCACAUGUGAAAGAACAUGUAGUGUGUGUAGGUACACGUACAUGUAUUCGCAUGAAUUGAUCUAAUUAACUUCUUCUUAAUGUACUUAAUUAUUACUAUCAUUGUUCUUGUUAUAUUAAUUACAGUCAUUUUCUUCCCUAAUUGAGAGUUGAUUUGUUUGCAAAGAUUUUUUGGAUUCUACUUUUAUGAGCGGUAGAUGUUUUGUAGUGACCACAUGAGGUGAAAAACUGCAGAGUUUCUGACAGAGACGCUAUCCAUCAAGCUUCCAUAAAUUGAAGAACCAAUUCCAAGGAUUUAUAAUAUUUUUGAAGAUUUAGGGGUCUUAACGUGGUCUCUCUUGAGCUCAAUGCCCAAAUUAAUGAUCUUUUGUGCAAUUAGAAACAGAAUAUUUUAGCAGCUUCCCGAAGAUAUGAUCUCUCUAACAUGAUGAAAUUUAUUAGGUUUUGAAGUAUGAACAAAACCAUCAAAGCACUAGGAGAAGAUUUGUUGGCAGUGCACAUACCAUAAAAGGAACUUUCAGGAACCAUCCGUGAAGGCAGUAAUUGUACCUUUGAAAUGACAGCAGUCUUGACCACAGACAGAGCCAAAGCUCACUACAAAAUGUUAUGGGUUGUGAAGAUGAUGAUCUUGUAAAGAAGGAUGCAUAUUGAAUCCCAUAUUCAUCAUCUGCACAGACACACGCACAAAAUGAAAAAAAAAAAAAAAGGGAUCAAUGUGUGUGUGUGUGUGUGUUAUAUAUAUAUCAUUUCCGAAUCAAAUCGAACAAGGCUACGAUUGUUAAAUAGUAAUCAGUAGAAAUUAGAUAUAGUGCUUGGAAAAACUAAAAAGAAAAAUCCAGAAUUUCAAAGAGAAGCAAAGGAUUCAUAACUCUUUCAUUAUAUAUUGAGAAUUCGUAUAUAGAAUGAUUAUAGAAUCACUACAGUAGUUAAUUUUAGAGCUUCAAGAACAAACCAAGGAAUUAAGAAAGAAUUAAUGCUUGUCGGAUUUUGCAAUAACAAAAACAUAAAGUUGCUGAAGACCACCCCAUUAAUUUUUCUACCGCUAAAGUUAGAAAGGGUAGCCAAUGCAAGCAAUGUUAGAGCGAGCUAGAUUCUAAACAAAGAACCAUAAAAUAUACAAUGUAACCAUCAUAUAAAAACUGAAACACACAGAAUACAGUGCUCUCUUUAACCUCAGAUUUCCAUACGCAAAAUGGGCUUCAAAAGACAUUAAACAAAGCACUUGACCGCUUAAAAAGACUCGGUGGUAUCACGAUACCUUAUUGAUAAAUCUCUUUCAGCACAAAAGCAGUUUUUGUUUGUGUUUGCUGCAAUCCAGACAAGAGGGUGGCUGUAAAAGAAACAAUGUGUUGCGGAGAAAGAAAUGUAACAAUGCUAACAGUAGUUUUUAAGAUGUAGAGAGAUUGAUUAAAAAUAAAUAAAGUAAAAAAAAAGAGUAAGAAUACAGAAGCUAACUUUUACAGCUGCUGUAAACUUUCUGCGCAGAACCUGCAAUCCAACUCAACUAAGCAUCACCAAGAAUAUUAACCCAAUGAGGUAAUACAAACAAAAAAGAAAAAAGAGAAAAUACGAAAGAAGUUUCCACUUUAUAUCCUUUGUCUAGCAAUGUAACCAUAAAAUGCUGUCAUCAAGAGAGAGAGUAAGCUUGAAGUUGAUGGCUAAAGAGGGAACAGAAAUUCACCCAAACAAACUGGGGAGAGUCCAUUGCAUGUAUAGAGUCAAUAUAUAGCAAUAAGUUAAGCCACCAGUCACUAAAAGAAAACAUUGAUGGAAAUAUUAAUUCUGAUAUUUAUCUGUAUAAUGUAUUAUACACAAUUAAAAGAGUUUUUCAAACUCCACAUUUCUUGCACCACUCUUCCAUCUUUUGAUCUUCACAAUAUACCCAAAACCUCGUCUUUUAAUUUGCUGACAUUAUUUAAACAAUCAACAAAAAGAAACUCAAAAAAGGCUAAACUUGAAAAAUUUCUUGAAAGCCUCUUACCUAAAUCUAGUACCCAUAUUGAGAAAUCAGAUGUGAAGGAACAGAAGAAAUGGUAUCUUCAUAUGUGAUUAAAGAUCCAGAUCAAAAGAUAAGGAAUUCUUUCCUUUCUUCGAAAACUCAGCUUGCAUUGGGGCACUAGUGGGUGCCCUUAAUUGGAGAGGAGGAGGGAGAGAAGAUGAAGCCAAAUGAGAAGAGAAUGAACCAAUUGUGCCAUGUGUCAUUGUGAUAGAAGAUGACCGAUCAUCAUCCUGUGUAGGACAAUCCAUGUUUACACCAAACAACCUGAGCCGCUUCCCCGCAGUUUUACCGUGAACAACCGGCACCGAAUCUAUCACCAGUGGGACAUGACUUCCUCCAGCUUGUUGAUGCAUUGCCCCAUUCUGAAGUGUCUCCGAUGGCCUUAAGUAAUACUGCGCUGAGUUGCCAUAACUAAUCGUAGACGGUUGAUGAUAAUGAUUCUGAUGAUUACGGUUCUGAUGUUGCUGUAGUUGAUAAGGAUGAAUGCUGUAAUUCAAAUGUCGCAAUUGAGGUUGCUGCAUGGAUAAAUUAGAUUGGGGAGAGUACAGCCUGCCCCACCGCACUGACUGUGGAUAGUGUUGCUGAUUUUGGAGCUCUAAAUGUGAGAAUGUUGUUGGAUCUGGUGCAUUAGGCCUGCGUCUCCAGUCUAUGAACAGACGAUGCUUGCCUGACUCACCAACACCGCGUUGGAACGACACAAUAUCGCCUGCAUCGAGCCUUUUUUCUUUUACAAACCGGCUCCAACCUUUGGUCAUUACAUAGCUUUGACUACUGUUCCAAUAAGAGUACCGGAACCGCCAUGGCUUGCCGUUCCGGUCUUCAAAGUUCAAGAGGAGGCCUUUUUCAUUCGAUGAAGAAUCAAGAGGGAAGUACCUCUCUGCGUGUUGCUUUGGUAUAACAAGACGGUUGAGCUUGCCUACAUCACUUGGGGUCACUACUUUGUCAAACAUGUGCUCUCUCUCAAUAGACUCUCUAGCUCCGACAACAGCAGCGGCACUAGUGCUCUCAGUUUCGUUGUUAUUUCCCAGUGAUAAUUCCAUGAGCUCUAGCUUCUUAUCAAAAUUGAGAGAUGGUUCUUGGGUUUUGCUAUCUUGUUGUGACUGAUCAAAUGAACCAGGCCACAUGCUGUGGUGCUCGGGAAGAAAAUUUUUGUACUUGGUAGAAGAAGAUGAUGUACAUGGAGAAGAAAAGAGGAGCUUACUUGUCUUCACAGCUUCCUCUCCUUCUUGUUUCUCUUCCCCUUGUUCUUCUCUAUCAAAAUCCCCUCUUUCUCCUUCAACGAAGUUCAUGAUGACCCACUAAGAGCUUCUUAUGAUCACAGUGGAUCUUGAAGAAUUGAAAUCCAACAACCAAAAUAGAAAUGAUGAUUGAGGAGAAAGAAAGAAAAGAAGAAGAAAAAAGUGGGGUUACGACUUUUUAGCGAAAUAUCGAGCACAAACAAGGCCUUACCUCACCUGCUCUAGAGGAUUUGGUUUCUUGUUUAAAAGAUUUUCUCUUUCAAAAUCUGUGAGGCCACAAAGAAGAGAAGCAAAGGGGGAGCAAUCAUCUAGCUCAAUACAAACCAAAGAGUCGGUGCCUUCUUCUUUGACUAAAAAUAAAAUAUAAAAACAAAACACUCAAAACCCUAAACAAGACAAGCCAUACGGUAAUUCAAUAUUAGAAAGAAAGAAGGCAAGUUGUUCAUCAUUUGGUUGACCUUGCUACAUCAGAGAGAGAGGUGUUGUAUGAGGGUUUUUGCUUCCCAAUUAUAGUUUCCUAAAAUCUUCUCUCUCUACAAGCAACGAACCACAAAUAUUUUCUCGCUUCUUUCUGCUAUUAAAGAACGACCCAUGAGGAUUCGAGGAUUGAGGACUGAGAGAGGAUUUGUGCGUAUGGGCCCAUGGAUGAUCUGGUUCGACUCAUGUGAGCUCUGUCCUUUUCAUCAUUCUUGGGUUUUCUCUAUAUAUUAGGGAGUGAGCAAUCAGCUUAAGAUGAUUUUUUUUCCUCCCUUUUUUUACUUUCAAGUCACAUGCAUCAUUAUGGUUAUUUUUGGGGUUUCUUCUAUUUUAUCUACAGGUCAGUUGCUGCUAGAGAAAGGGUAUGUUCAAGUUAGGUUUUGAGUUUUGACUUCGGUGCCAUUGAUUAAAUUGUGUGCUGGUCCUGGCAGAGAGAGAGAGAGAGAGAGAGAGAGAGAAGGUAGUGAGGGUAAACAGACCGACCUGGCGCCCUCCUAUUCUCAUCCUCAUCUAGCUAGUGGGCAUAGAUUCCUCCAUUUUAUAUCGUGCUUGUUUGCACAACAAACCAAACCCAUUUAGGUUUCUCCACUCCUGUUCUUUAUAAGACCUUGUUGCCUUUGAUCUACGCUUUCAUGUCCCAAUAUAUGGUUAAUUAUUAAUUAAUAGGUGCCUUUUUCCAUCCUUCUCGUUCAAUAAAAAUAGAAAACUUUAAAUUUUAGCUCCCCGUGAAGUCUUUUUCCUCUAUUUCGGCUCUCCCAGAUUAAAAUUCCAAGUUCCAUGGAUACAAUUUCGAUUUUACAACUAACCAGAAUCAAUCCCACGUUUAUAAGAAAUAUCGUAUGUUAAAUAACUCCUGAAAUUCUUAUUCUCGACAUAAGGGGGGGUUGAAAUCAACAACGUCAACCUUUCAGCUCUCGUGUGCUGUAGAAUAUUGUCUGGUGUCUUUGGUUAAGUGCUCCUUGUUAACGAAUUUGUCAAUGACGCAUGGUGAGCAAGGUUCAAACCCGAGUCAAUAAUGAAAUGUGCUAAAAAUAUUAAAUCAACACAUGAUACAAGUGUAAUAAAGAGGGAUAAAAACAGAAAAAAAAGAAAAAAGAAUAUAUAUUCGCAAUAUUUCAGAUGAAGAAAUCACUCCAAAUUAAUAAAGCUAUGAAAGGCGAACGGGGCAUCAAAAGAAAACGUCAGCUAGCUUGUAUAGAGAUUUUCUUGGAGUUUGAGUCAUUCAUGCACUCUUUCUUAGAAACACUGCAUAUUUAACAUUUCAUGCUAUUUUUUUUUUUUUCAGAUUAAUUUGUAUAAAUCUCAACUAAUUUUCAUGGAUCUUGAAAUUAAUAAUCAGAUAAAUCUUAGAUAAUUAUUAAUAUUAACAAUUACAGAACUCGAAUUUAAAAUCACAAAAUAAACAAAUCCCUUAAUCUUAAACUCUUAUCACUUACCACUUAAUUGAUAGUUUUUAUGAUAUUAUUUAUUAAUAUUUCAUGCUAACUGUCGAAUUUUCGAUACAUUAAUCGGACAUAGCAGCAUAUAAUUUUUUUUUUUAUCAAGAACUACUACUUAGACUAGGAUUCCUAUUAAUAUCUACCGAUCUUUCUUUUAAUUUGAUGUUCUUAAAUCCUUUGUUUAGCAAUAAAAAAAAUCUUCUAUAAACAGGUUCUUCUACAAUGCGAACACUAAGUUUAAAUUUUUUCAUACCCAUCAUCUUUUUAAAGAACAAAUAAGUGUUAAGAGACUUUAAAAUUUCAGCAAUUCAAUCCUUAAACUUUUAAAUUUUCAUACCCAUCAUGAUUUCUUGAUUUUUCAUCAAAUUACGAAUAUAAUAAUACUUAAUAUCAUUAUAUUUUUCACGAUCAGAUUCUUUUGCUGCUAAAAAAUAAGAUGAGGAGAAACUGUCUAAUUCAUUACAAUAAAACUAAAAUUCAAUACAUAUUUAAUUAGCAACGAAAAACCCAUUAAGGAUUUUUCAUUGCUGAUAUAGCUAUAUAGUUUUUUUGUUUUGUUUUUUUUCCCUGAGUUGAGCUUUUAUAUGAAACAAUAACCUCUUUGUCAGACAAUCAUGGGAAGCUUGUGCUCUGUUUCCAUGUCUUGGUCAUAGGCUUAUUAAUUGCCUGGUGAUUUAACAAUAAGAAUCGAUUGUGGGGCAUACCAUAUCUCGCAGUGUAUCUCUCUAUUCAUCUGCUGGGCUUAUUAAAACUGACCACCCAAAUCAUGUGCAUCGAACAUUUUUUUUAAUGCAAAAUACCCAAACUAUCUUUACCUCUUAUUCAAAUUGAUCACCCAAAAUACUAUCAUUCUUUUUCUCCCCUCUACUAACAGCUUCAUAGUUGAUAUUAAAGAGAGAACAAGAAAUAAUAACAAAUAGAAACAUGAACCAAUCUCAACAUUUUAUUUUCAACAAUAAUAACAUCAACUUAAAGAGAGAAAGUGAACGAUGUCGUGCAUUUUUCCUUUUGGUUUUUGAAGAAAAUGAAAAUCAACAACAAUUAAGAAAGCAGUUAAGAAAUGAGGAUUUUGAAUUCAGAGUGAUAGAUGUUACCAAACUUUAGGUAUUGACUUAGUACGUAUUUUAGCUUUCUGUAAUUGAUAAUCCCUGGAGAUCAGGGCGCUAGCCUGUUUUGUUUCUAUGACCUAUGUUUAUGUGGAAUAACAAUAUUGUAUAUUCGUUAUUUUGUUACCUUAUGUACAACUAUAUAUAAAGUCACCUUGCAUAUUAAAGAAUAUAAACUUUUCUCCUAAAAAAACUACCUUUAAUAUUUGGUAUCAAAGCUUUUUCGAACCUAUGCCAAAGUUUUUCAAAUCUUGUAGCCGCAGCUAAAGAUGACAACUAAAGGCAGUUUUGUUCAACCAACAAUUUCAUGAUUUGCUGGGCAUUAUAAUCAUUCUAGCAUGCUGAAGGAGAAUUUUCUUCACUCCAAAGAAUACUGGCAUGUAGUUGAGAGUGGAAUUUCUAUUACAAUGAAGGAUGUCGAUCUCUCAGAUGAAAAAAAAAAAGGUGGCAAAUUAGAGAUUGAAAGGCUUAUGAGCAAAGAAUUAUCUCUUUCAGACCAUUGAUCGUUCAAUCCUUAAAACUAUCUUGGACAAAGAGACUUUGAAGGGAAUCUGGGAUUCUAUGAAGAAAAAGUUUCAAGGGAGUGCACAACUGCAGGUCUUUUGCAAGGAUUUUGAAAUCCUUUAUAUGAAGGAAGGUGAGACUGUCUCUAACUACUUUUCUUGUACUCUUAUCAUUGCUAAUGAAAUAUGCUUUCAUGGUGAAACAAUGACUAAUGUUAUUAUUAUUGAAAAGAUCUUAUACAAUAUUGAAAAGACUUGGAAACUAUUUCUAUUGAUGAAUUACAAAGUAGCCUAUUGGUUCAUGAACAACACAUGAAAAGAUAUAUUGUGGAAGAGCAAGCAUUAAAGAUUACUCAUGACAACAGUGUUAGCGAACUAGGCCUUGGCGGAGGUGCUUUUCGAGGUAGGGGAUAAGGGCAUGAGAGAUAAAGUUUUGAUAAAUCAUUUGAUAAAUCUUUUGUUGAAUGUUUUUUAUUGUCAUGAACUUGGCCAUUUUCAGUAUAAAUGUCCAAAGAAAGGCAAGGAAAAUGAGUCGCAAGUUUAUUAUGCUGAAACCACUAAAUCACUGCUGCUUAUGACAUAUAUUGAUGUUAUGAAGAUGGUAGGAUAUAAUAAAGAGUCAAAAGGCUAUUUUUCAAAACAUGGUACUCUUAAAGUUGAUAAAGGCACGAAAGAGUUCUUCUCAUGACUCAUGUCGAUAAAACACCUAAUGAAAUGACAUGGUUCUUAGACUUGAGAUGUUGUAACCAUAUAUGCAUAUAUAACGAAUUCUUUUCAUAACUAGAUGUGAGCUUUCGCAAGUCAGUAAAGCUGGGCGACAACUCUAGCAUUGGUGAAAUGGGAAAAUGUCGUAUUAAUAUCUAAGUUAAUCAUGUUUCGUAAGUUAUUAUAUAGUUAUUUUAUAUUUCUAAAUUGAAAAACAAUAACUUAUGCAUUGGCCAACUGUAGGAGAAAUGUUUGGUAAUUUUAUUUCGAUAUAACAAGUGUAAGGUGUACCACUUAGUGAGAGGUUUUAAUAUCGAAACAACCAUUUCUCUUAAUAUGAUGUUUAUCCUUCUUAUCAAGAUUCAACUUCAAGACCAACAUUGUUUUCUCACUCUAACACAAAAUCUGGAUUAUCUCUACCAUUGUCGGUACUGCCAUUUAUGUUUUGGAGGUUUCAAAACUCUACAGAAAAAUAGAUGGUUUACAAGUUGCCGCAUCUGCAAUGUUCCAGCUUGUUAUACAAAGAUUAUAUGCUGGGAAAACAACAUAAAAGUUUCUUUCCAUGAGAAAGUAUGUGGAGAGGAUCGCCACCAAUUCAGCUCUUUCAUUCGAACCUAUCUAAGCCAAUUUUUCCUAUCUCCAAAGUCAUAAAAGGUAUCUUUUAACUUUUAUUGAUGACUUUAGCCAGAAUUAUGGGUUUUUUUUCUUAACAAAGAAGUCAGAUGCUUUUAGAAUGUUCCAACUUUUCAAAAUAAAGGUUAAGAAAGAAGCUGACAAGCUGAUAUUAGUAUCCAGGGUUUGCAAGCUGAUUAAGGUGAGGAUUUUACAUUUACCAAGUUUAUUGAGUUCCAUGCAACCAAUGGGAUACAUUGUCAACUCACCACAACCUACACUCCUCAGCAAAAUAGAGUGGCAGAAAGGAAAAAUCAAACGAUCAUGAACAUGAUUCGAAGUUUGCUCACUAGUAGAUAAGUUCCAAAAACUUUUUAGCCUAAGGCUACCAACUAGGCGGUACAUAUUCUUAAUAGAAGUCCUAUACUUGCAGUUCAAAAUAAAACUCCAGAAGAGGAAUGAAAUCGCACUAAACCAUAUGUUGCUCAUUUUUUACUGUUUGGGUGUCUCUCUUAUGCUCAUGUUCUAGAUAGAAAAUGCACCACAUUGGAUAGCAAAAGCUCAAAAUAUGUUUUGUUAGGAAUUAACAAGGAGUCCAAAGCUUAUCGUUUGUAUGAUCCACUUUCUCAAAAGAUGCUUAUUAGUUAUGAUGUAAUCUUUAAUGAAGAUGAAAGUUGGCCCUAAGAUGAUAGUCAUACUGAAGCAAUUCAAGCAUCUCUUGAUUGGAGUGAUAUAGAUAAAGACAUUAAAAUUAAUAUCCAGGAUAAAACCAUAGACAACAAUUUUGGUGGGACUAGUUAUGAGAAAGGCAAUGGAUCCAUUAGUGCUGAUAAUCGUGGUGGCUUUCAUGAAAAGAAUUUGGAGCAUCAAAUAACUAAAUAAUACACAAAUAUUGAUCCUAUUUCCAAUCCUACUGAAAGCCAUUCUUGACACCCACCAAUCUGGAUGUGUGACUAUGACAGUGGCGAGGGCUUCUUUAAUAAUGAUCAUCAAGGUAAUUUUGCUUUAUUUAUUGAUGGGGAUCCUUUAUCCUAUGUGGGUGUAGCUUAAAGUGCCAAAUAAAGAUGUACCAUGAACUCUAAAAUUAAAGCCAUUCGAAAAAAUGAUACAUGAGACCUCACUAAACUUCAUUAUGGCGCAAAAAAGGUUAGGUGAAAUGGGUAUACAAGACUAAGCUAAAUGAUUAUGGGGAAGUUGAAAAAUACAAGGCUCGCCUUAUCGCCAAAGGGUAUAAACAACAGCAUGGGGUAAAUUACAUUGAGGCCUUUACACUCGUGGCUCGCAUAGAUACUAUAUAGCCGAUGCUUGCUCUAGCAGCUUAAAAAGAAUAGUAUUUAUUUCUUCACAGUGAGUUAAAUAAGGAGGUGUAUGUUAAGCAACCCCUUGGUUUUGUGGUAAAAAAAAGCAGAAAAUAAGGUGUAUUACUUGCGGACAACUUUGUAUGGCUUAAAGCAAAUGAGCAUGGUACAGUUGUAUUAAAGCUUAUUUUCUGAGGGAAAGGUUUGAGAAAUGUCCUUAUGAGCAUACUUUGUUCCUAAAAAAAUCUUCACAGGGUACCUUCUUGCUUGUGUGGCUUUAUAUAGAUGACAUCAUCUUUACUAGAAAUCAUGAGACUUUGUUAAGCUCUUUUAAACAUUCAAAAUGAAGGAAUUUUAUAUGAUGAAUUUUGGAUGAAUGUGAUAUUUUCUUGGUUUAGAAGACCUACAAUGACCUGGUGGUAUUUUUAUUUGUCAAAUGAAGUAUGCCUAAAAGGUGUUGGAGAGGUUUAAUAUGGUUGGUUGUAAUCCCGUAUUUAAUCCUAUUGUUCUAGGAUUCAAAUUGGUUAAAGACUUUGCUGGUAUGGUAGUGGACAAACCUUGUAAAUGCAAAUGGUAAAAAGUUUGAUGUAUUUAACAAUAACCAGACCUGAUAUUAUGUUUGUUGUUAAUUUGCUUAGUAGGUAUUUGACGCAUUUUACAAAAAUCCACCUCCAAAUUGUUAUGAGAGCACUUUGUCAUAUCAAGGGGACACUUACAUAUGGAAUUUCUUAUAAAUAAAGUGUUUAUAAGGAGCCUUUUGCCUACACCAAUAAUGAUUAUGUAGGAGAUUUGGAGGAUAUAAAAAGUACAUUGGGUUUUUAUUUCAUUUUAUUUUUGCUAAGCUUAGGAGCUGUAUUAUGGUCUUCAAAGAAGUAGCCUAUAGUCACACUCUCCACCACUAAAACUGAGUUCAUUGUUGUUGCCUCCUAUGUAUGUCAGACCGUGUGGUUGCGAAAAAUGUUAGAAAAGCUUAAUCAUGUCUUUAUUGGGGCUAUCAUGAUGUACCAUGAUAAUAUUUCUACUAUUAAACUCUCAAAAAAUGCUGUCAUGCACAGUCAAAGCAAACAUAUUAAUGUUCUCUUUCAUUUCCUUCAUGAUCUGACUCAAGAUAGAGUUGUGACAUUGUUGCAUUGUGAUUAAUACUAAAAAGUGUAUUUUUAUCAAGGUUUUAUAUCAUCAUUUUGCACUUGAAGUAUCAAUGACUCCUUAAAUAGAGCAUGUUUUAUAAUAACAAGCCUAAUAAUAUAAGAUACCUUUGAUUUAUGGUAAAUGUUUAUUUUAAAUGUAGGUCUAUCACAUAAAUCAAAGAAUCGAUUGAUGAGUUUAACUACUGAAAUUGAGAAGACAAAGAAAGGGUUAAGCUUAGAAAAGAUAUGCUGAUUCAAUAACUAGAACACUAUUCAGUCAUUGGGUCAUAUUUGGAGUUGUAGAUCUUGGAUUUCAUUUUGGUUUAUAUGGUUAGAAAGCUAAGACAUAUGCCUAAAACAUUUACGAAGGGUCCAAGACUUAAUUUUUCCGUUUGAAAGUCCAAAUCUUAGCAUUAAAAGAGAAGUCCAAAUCUGCCUUGUAUCACAAACACUAUUCAGUGUUUAGCCCAUAUCUUGAGUUCUAGAAGUCUAAAUGACCUCAUUCCUAUUGUGUUAGAAAGCUGAGAUAAUUUCCCAAAACUUUCAUGAAAAAAUUUGUUCAAAUUCUGAUGUUAGCAAUGAUGUUUUAUACAGAUAAGAAAAUAAGGAUUGCUACCAAGUCAAGAGAUGGCCACCCACUCAACAAUUAGUCAUCAAAUCAAUAGUUCUGAAUUUUAGCAUUUUCCAUGCAUUUAGGCAUCUUGGUUUUCAAAUUAAGAUCAUAUUCUUGCUUUCUCUCUUUGUAUUUUUGUAAUGUUUAAGUUUUGCUUUCAUUAAUCUCUUAUUUAUGCAUCAUAACUAUGUCCUUAUCUAGUUUAUUUAUGUUUCUCUUCUUCAUAAUGUUUAGCUAAGUUUAUUAUGUCAAGGUGAAAAGGUUUCACUAAUGGUAUUAGAAUAGGUAUAAUAUAAACUCAACAUGGACCUCAAUGUUUAUAUCCAAGAAAGUGUGCUAUUAACAUAUCUUAUCUUUUUAUCUUAUUAAUUCUUAAUACCUUGCUUGUUAAAUGGUUAAUCUAGAUUUGUGUUGUUUAACACUUGGUACAACAAAUGUUUGGCACUUUCAUAGCCAACCGUAUAAUAUAACCUACAGUUGUGCUAUGAAAGGAACUUGACUUGUUAAUAUAAGUUACCAUCAUGAAUUUCUGACAAUAUUUAAAAAUAUGGUGUUACUAAAAUAAGAUAAUUAAUAUGAUCAUGUUAAAAUUUAUAAUGAACUAUUAAGGAUAAAUCAUCCGAUUGGAACCUCCUUUGUGUGUGCUUUCCAGUUGAUUAAUAAAAAGAGUUUAUACUAUACUUAUUUCUAAUAUUAUUAGUGGAUCCUUUAACCUUGAUAAUUGUUUUUAUCUUUGAUUAAUACUUACAUCAAUAUCACAUCUCAAAAGUUCUCUUCAACUCCUUUUUAUUUGUUGUUUAUAAUUUUAUAUAGUUCACCUCCCUAUGGUUCGACCUCGGUUUUGCCGGGUUAUUUAUUACUUCGACACUCAUGCACUUGGGAUAAGACAUUAAUCUUUUGAUCGUGUUAUAAUGUCAUUCUCAAGAGCAAUUGGCUGAUAUCAUUACCAAACCCUUGACACAAGUUGUUUUUUAGAAGCUGCGUAUGUUGCUUGGUGUUUGUUAGGAUCUAGAAGUAAACUAAAGAUAAUGUCAUCAGUUUAAGAGAGGGACUAGUUUAGGUGUUGAUUUAGUAUUUCAACUUUAUGUUAUUGAUAAUCCUUGGAAAUCAGGGAACUGGCUUAUUCUUUGGUUAUGAACCGAGUUUAUUGGAAUAACAUUGUAUUAGUUUUUCAUUUACCUUCUAUAUAGUUAUAUAUAAAGCGACCUUGCAUACUGAAUAAUAUAAGAUUUUCUCCUAAAAAACUAGAUUAAAUAAUAAUUAAAAAAAAGAUAUAUGUUUUGUUCUUGAUUUCUUUCGUUUUAUAAGAGGGAGGUGGAGUUGUGGUUGUUGGAUUAAAUGGUGAUCCAUGUGAGGGGCGAGGUUUGGUUUUUGAGCCAUUGGAUUUUAAAUGCUUGAAUGUGAUUGGUGGAAACAAGGUAAGCACGAUCGUGGUUUUCUUGUGGAGUGAAAAAUGGAAAUUUUCAACUUAAAAAUGUUAGCGAAAGGUAUUUAUUUAUUUAUUAGAUAAAAUAUUGUUUUUCAUCAUUGUUAAACUCGUUAUUGAUUGUAUUUAUUUAUAUAUUAGAUAAAUUAUUGUUUUUCAACUUCAUUUCUAAUUCACUGUUAAAUCAAUAACUAAACUAUUAUGUUACUAAAAUACAAUGCUAAUAGCCUUAUUGUUAAUGGUGUUUGUUUAUCCAAUAACGGAUUUGUUAUCAUAAAAGGUCUUUAUUAGCUUGUUUUGAUAAUUUUACAACUCACCAAACAUUCUUUUUAACCACACAACUUGAGUAACACAACUUCCAGCUACAAUAUACUCUACCUCUAUAGUAAAAACAAUAACCACUUAUUGUUUCUUUGAAGACCAAGAAAACACACUAGGACCAAGAUGAAAAACAUAAUUUAAAGCACUCAUUUUCUUUAUAGUGUUACCCGCCCAAGCUCAACAUUAUUAACAUAAGAAUAAAAGAUAUCAUCAUUUUAUGUAUCUUUGACAUAUCUCAAAAUAUACUUUGAUGCUUGCAAAUAAGAUUGACAUAGAGUCUUUAUGAAUCUACUAACAAUGCCAAUAACAUAUAUGAUAUCAAGCCGAGUAGUAGUUAAAUAUCAAAAGCUUUCAAUCAAUCUUUAAAAAUUGAUUAAAUCAACCAAAUUAUCACUUCCAUCUUUCAUAACCUUUAAUCUUUCUUCCACUAGAGUCAAAAUUAGAUUACAAGAUUUCAUCUUGAUGUUUUUAGCACAUCACUAGCAUACUUUUUUUAUUAAAUAAAUAUGCCAUCCUUUGUUCAUGUAAUCUCAAGACCAAAAAAGUUAGACAUCAGACCCAUGUUUGUCAUCUUAAGCCAGCAAUUGUGGUUUCUUUAAACUUCAUCAUCAAUCUUAAGUUGUUACUUGUAAAAAUCAAAUCAACCACAUAUAAAUAUACAAUACGAGUAUACUAGGCUCUAAAAGUUUGUUUCAAACCAUACAAGAUCUUAUUCAAUUUAUAGACUUUAUUCUUUUUCCUUUCUUCAUAAAGCCUAGAGGUUGUUCAACAUAAACCUCUUCUUUAAACACACCAUUCAAAAAGGUCGAUUUCAUAUCCAUCUAAUAAAUACACCAAUGAUUUUAUAUAGUAUGAGAAAAAAUUAUAUGAAUGGUAUCAAUUCUAGUAAUAAGAACAAAAGCCUUAAAAUAAUUAAUACUUGGUUUUUGCUUUUAGCUUUUUGUCACCAAUUAUGAUUUGAAGCGAUCCACUAUUCCAUUAGGCUUGUACUUUAUCUUAUACACCUACUUGACUCUAAUUAACCUUUUAUUUUAUGAAAGAGUGUUAAGUUCCCAAAUGUUGUUCUUCUUAUUCUUUAUUCAUUACACAAAGCUAGCAAUAAUUAGUAGCAACUUCUUGCUAUGAAAUAGGAUCACAAUCAAUAAAUAAAAGCAAGGUACACUACAUCAUUAUAAAAAAUCUCAUUGUCACUCACAAGAAUAUAACAUUGUAAGUGUGUAGGCAAGCAAUAUUGAUGUUGUGGAUGACUAGAAGGCUUUGCAUUAAUAGGUGUUGAAGACUGUGGAGUUUGAUCUUUCAUUGACAUAUUAUUGUAAACUUUAUCUAGGAAUGAUAAAGAUUUUGCUUCUUCAACAAACAAAUCCUAAAUUCCAUCUUUAUAAAAAAUAACAACUUGACUCAUAACAACAUUUUAGUUUUUGGAUUGUAUAGUUUGUAACCCUUUGUCUCACUCUCGUAACCAAUAAAAAUACAUUUUUUGAUUUGUUAUCUAAUUUCUUCCUUAACUUAUUAGGAACAUAAGAAUAAGCAAUGAAACCAAACACUUUGAGAUGACUAAUAUUUAGCUUCCUUUGACUCCAAGCUUCUUGAUGAGUUUUUCCAUGAACAGUUUUUGUAGGACACUUGUUCAAAACAUAAAUAACAUACAUCUAACCUUAUCUAUUUCUCUCUGCCACCUUAUUUUAUUGAGGAGUGUAUCUAGUAGUUAAUUGAUGUAAAAUACUAUGCCUUUUCAAGAAAUCAUCAUAAACAAUAUAUUUUAUCCUUCUAUCAUUUCUCAAAGUCAUAAUGAAAUGCCCAAUUUGCUUUUCAACAUAAGACAAAAAAAAAUUCUUAAAUACACUACAAGCUUUUGAGUUUUAUUUCCAGAAAUUAAACCCAAGUCAAUUAUCAAUAAAAUUAAUGAAGUACCUGUUACCUUCAUGUGAAGAAAUUUUAAUUAAGCACAAAUCUAAUUGCAUGCGUUUAAGUGUUUUUUUUAGCUCUCCAUGCUUUGCUUUUUAGAAAAGUAUCCCAGUGCUUUUAUCCCAAAGUACAUGAUUCAUAAAGUUUUAUAAAAGGUCAAUUUAUAGUAAACCAUAAACCAAUUUUUUAAUAGCAAGAAAUUUCAAACUUCUUAAGUUUAAAUUUCAAAGACGUAAAUGUCAUAAUCAACUAUCAUUAAAAAUCAUAAAACUAAAGCAAAAAAACUCCUUGUAAUUAAUUUUUAAUUGUUACAGAUGAUUAUUAGCAAUAGUUCCAAUGUUAUUAACCUCUCUUGUUCAUCAGAGAUUAUACAAGUCUUGUAUUUGAAGUGCAAAUCAUUCUUUAUUCUUGCUAAUUGUCCCAUAUUUAAUAAAUUUUGCCACAAGCUUGACAUAUUGAACACUUCAGAAAUAAAAUUAAUUGACCCAUACUUUAAUUAAAUGACCAUUCUACUUUUCUUAAUUGUUAGAGUUCUUGUUUUAUCCCUAAGCAUCAUCGAUGUACAAAAAGAUUCAUCCAAUUUAGAAAAUAGCUCUUUGUCACUAUUGAUAUGAUUGCUGCAACUUGUAUCCAAAACCUAUAUAUUUUUAUAUACUUUUUUUGUAUUAUGGUUUGCCACAAAUAAAGUCUCAAAAGCAUUUUUAUUAGUCUUCAUAAAUUUUGUAUACACAUUCCUAUUAUUUGAGUUUUCAAGUCAACACUUAUAUUGAUAAUGAUCAAACCUUUUGCAAUGAUGACAUUGUAUAUAAGACUUGCAAUCUUUCUUAUAGUGACCACUUUCUAAAAUUUAUGCCAUUAAAUUUGAGAUGUGUCAUUCUAAUUUGAAUCUCCUUCACAUCUAUUAUUUAUGCUUUCAUUGUAUCUUUGUUGUUGAUCGAAUCUGUUAUUUCUUUCAUCUUUGCCUCAACUACUUUGACCAUGUUGAUUGUGCUCAAUCUUAUAUAAGACUCUCUUUGUUCAUCAUGUUUAACUAAGAUUGCAAUUCCUUUUCAAAGGCUACCCCAAACUUCUUUGAAUUCAAGUGAUAUUCAUAAGCUACUAAUGAACCUUAUAAUUCAUCAAUUGACAUCUCAUUCAAAUCUUUUCAUUCUUUAAUAGUUGCUACUACGUCCUCAAAAUGAAGUGUUAGACUUUGAAGAAUUUUAUUUAUAACUAGGAAAUAUGUCAUCUUUUCUCCAUUGACAUCUUAUUAACCAAUUUUUAUUUAAGCAAAAAAUACUCAUUAAUAGUCUCAUUAUCUUUCAUUCGAAGAAGUUCAAAUUAUAUGCAUAAAGUCUACGACUUUACAUUCACUUGUCUAAACCUUUGUAAGACUUGUCAAAAAUAUCUCAAGCUUCCUUUGCAAUUUUGACAUUCAUAAUCUUCUCAAAAACAAAUAAUUCCACCUCUUAAAAGAUGUGAUAUCUAGCUUAUUGAUUUCUCUUUUUGGAACAAUUUUUUUCUUGUACAUUCGUUCACUCUAAAACUUUGUUCUCAAUAAGAUCCCAAACAUCAAUAUACUCAAAGAAAGAUUGCAUUUGUACUUUCCAGGUUCAAAGUUGUUUUUGCCAACAAAUUUGAACAUUUGAAUAAUCCAUAAAUUUUGUAUAAGAACCUAUCCUUUUAAUCGAAUAGCUCUUAUAACAAUUAUUAAAAACACUAAUCAUUCAGUUUUUAACCUCCCAAUGUGUUAUUCAUUGAUGUUUAACACUCUUAAAUUCUUAAUACAUUGGCCUUAUAUUUAUAGGGAGAUUACAACCUCUAACUAAUCAAAGAUUUUUACUUAGACUAGGAUUUCAACUAAUAUCUAACAAUACUUAGACUUAAUUUAUGUUUAUGUAGGUGGAUUUUAUUAAACAAAUGACAUUUAUUUACUCGUUUCAACUUUCAAUAAUAUAGGCCAUAGUAAUUAAAUUUGGUCUGGCUCAUGACCUAUUUUAAGGCUUAGAAUACGAGUUGAGCGGGUUAUCUCAAUUUGAUUUGGGUAAAAAAACAAUAUCAUUUAACUUUUAAAAUUAAAAUGAUGAUGCUUUGAGAACAAAAAAUCAACUCAAGUUUUGACAAGGUAGUGGGUUGUCUCACUAGGUCGAUCACGUCAAAUAUAAUCAACUUAAGGUUGACUUUUAUUUUUAACACCUAACAUAGGCUGGGUGCAAGUUAACUAAAUAUUGUACCGACCAGCCAGACCAAAUUUAAUAAUUGUACUACAUGUAUGAGGUAGCAAAGACAUUUCUAGUUUGAUAAUGGAAGAACCUUGGAAUAUAUUGAAAUUAUGGUUGAAUAUGUCAUAUGCAUUGUUAGGCCCUAUUUGUCUUUGAGGUUGGAAAGAGCUUUUGCAAAAAAAUAAAAAAAAAAUUCUUCAAAUUAAUAUUUUUUUUUGUUUUUAUAUAUUUUUUUAAUGUUCUAAUGUAAAAAAUAAUUAAAAAAAAAUCAUUUCGACACAUUUCUAAGCGAAAAGUAAUCGCUACCACAAUGCUAAACGAGCUCCUAGCCCAUCACACACACAAUUAUCCCAAAUUGUUUUCUAAUACAAAACUACUUACAAACCUUCACAUUGCUUUAUAUAAUAGUAUUUCUUUUCAAUAAAGUCACUUAAUAUUUUCUAAUUGAACAAUAUAAUUGAAUAUUCUAAGGUAUAAGAGAAAAACUUAAAAAAUGCUUUAAUUGAUAAUAUAAAGAGGUUGUGUAUGUGUGUGUAUAUAUGAUGAAUGCAAUCAAACCAAUUAAAAUAUUAUUUUCAAGUGUUUUAAUAACUUUAAAUACUUCAUAAUCUUAUAAAUGUUUUCAUAUAGUAUAUAAAAAAAUUAUCUAAAUAAAUUCUAAUAUACAUGUUACAUUAUUGCAAAUUUUACAAUGAUAUUUCUAUAGAGUUAUUUUAUUUAGACACAAACUAAACUCUAACACUAUGAACAUACGCAAAUAAUUUCCUUUUGUAAUUUUUUUAAUUACAAAAGGAUUUUAAAAAAUAAUAAUUUUAAAAAUAAGAAUCAAAAUUACUAUCACAACUAUUAUUAACAAGUAAUAUUAUCACUGCUAUUACUAUCACUAUUAUUAUUAUUAUUAUUAUUAUUAUUUCUAACAUUGUCAUUAUUGGUAAUAAUUAUAGCAUUUCCAUUAUUAUUAUUAUUAGAAGCAGUAGUGUUACCACUAAAACAACUACUACUAUUAUUAUCUCCACUAAUUUUAUUGUUGUUGUUGUCAUCGUCAUCACUACUAUCAUCAAUAAUAAUAUCAUCAUCAUCAUCAUCAUUGAUUUAAUUUUUAUUGUUAUUGUUGUUGUUGUUAUAUUGAAAAAAAUAAAAAUAAUGAACUUGAUUUGAAUGAUAGAAUUCAAAACUAUAGAGAUUUUACAAAAGGACCAAGAAAAAAAAUUAAGAAAUCAAAAGAAAAUGGACCAAAUUGAAAUCACUAUUAUCAUUGAAAAAACUAAAAUCAUAAACUUAAUAUGAAUGAUAAAAUUGUAAGACAUAAGAACUUCGACAAAAAAGCAAAGAAAAAAAAUUAAAAAUUAAAAGUAGAAGGAACAAAUCGGAAUACCUCAUAUUUAAAACUUAAAAACUAAGGGUUAAAUUGAAAACAAAUAAAACUUUAAUAAAAUUAAAAAUGAUUAAAAAACAACAAUCAAAACUAAAAGGUAUAAAUAUGAAAAAACAAUAACAACGAGGACCAUAAUGUAUUUACAGGGGUAGGAGAGACAAAUGAAGAUUAAAAAAAAAUGGUCAUCUAUGAUACACUGAUCAUAUUUGGAGUACAUGCAUUGUCUAUAAUGGAAGAGGAGACGGAGAGAAAUUGACUAUGUUGGUUGAAGAAAUUUUUUGAUCAUCAGAAACUGUCGCACGUGUCGCCCAAAGUGUGAGGCAUUUUCAAUAUGCGCCAACAACUUUUUAAUUAAAAAUCAUUAUUUUAAAGGGAAAUUACAUUACUACCAUUAACCAAACUUACAAUUAACAACAAAACGUAGGCUAAAAGACCCAAAUACCCCUGACGAUAAUGAACUAAAUGUCUUACAUCCAAGGGUGCAUGUGUAAUUCUACUAUGUAUGAAAAAAAAAACCUAAAUAUCCCUACCCGAGACCACUAAAUAUUUUUUACUCAUGAGAGUGUUUUAGUUAUUUUAUUACUCACAAAACAUUGAAUAGAUGAAAAUAUCUCCAAACAAAUCAGUAAAAACUAAUGCACUUUAUGAAAAUACUGAAAUAACCUUGGUCCAAAGGCAUGGAAUUUUUUUAUGGAAAUGAGAAAAUAAUCAUUACAUUACAGUAGUGAAUAGGAAAAAAAAAAAUAAGGGGGCUACAGUGAAUCCUCCCUCUAUUUUAGUUGUUUAUAUCACUUUAUUAAGAUUUUACCCACCUUCUAAUAUUUUUGUCUCUCCUCAUGCACCAUUUAUAUCAAAUCGAGAGAUCAAAAAAUAUAUGGAUAUUUUUAAAAAUAAAUUAAUAAACAACUCAAUUAUCAAUAGAGAGAUAACAAAAAUAUCCGGACAUUCUUAAAAAAUAAAUUAAUAAACAGCUCAAUUCUAGAAAGUGUCACACAGAACUAAGAAAAUUAUAUGGUGUUAUAAGAGUAAUUAGUGAUUUUCUAUUAGUUAUAUAUAAAAAAGUAACUAAUAAAAUAUCAUUAAUUACUUUUUAAGUAUUAUAAAAUUACUUAAUAUUAUACAUGUCAUUAUAUAUAUAUAUAUAGAGAGAGAGAGAGAGAGGAACAGCCCUCACAAUAUAAUUUGAUACUCGUGUUUUAGUACAAGUCAAUGAUUUGGAGGAAAGCUUUUGUAAGUUAUCAUACAACAACACUAUUUAAAAGUUAUUUUUAUUUAUUUAAAUAAAAAUAAAAAUAGAUAUAUAUAAAAAAAAACAAUAAUUAAAACUUUGGAGGAAAAUGUACUCAUUGAAUUAAAAUUGUUUUCUCUCGUUCAUGUAUUUUUUUUUCUUGUUUUUGUUUUUGACAAUAACAUGUCUUUCAUAUGAACAUCAUGAUUAAUCAAAUAAAAACUAAUGGUGAUUAAAAUAAAUAUUCUAACAACUUGAACUAAAGAGGAAAAUUUUUUAAUCAAAAACCCUAUUUUCUUAUUAACAUAUUUAUUUUUUUCUUGACAAAAAUAUUUUUUGUUAGAAGCAUUAAUUUUUUUAAAAAAAUAUUAUUAUUGUUGUUGUUGUUGUUAAAGGUAAUUUCAAUAAUAAAAAAAUAUGCAACUUUUAUGAAUAAAAGUAUAAUUAACAAAUGAGAAAAAUUAUAUAAAGCAAUUAUGAUAAGAAAAUAGAUGUUACAUUUUUACUAAAUAUCAAUAAGUAAAAUUUUAAAAAUUAGGCAUAUUAGAUUAAUAUAUAAUUAAAAGUAUAGAUACUGUUGAUAUUACCAUAUUAAAUUCUAAUGCUCUUGAAAACUAUUGCAUAAUUGAAUAAAUAUAAUUAAAAGUAUAUAUAAUUAAAAGUUUGUUUUAUUAAAAAAUAAAUAAAUAAAAAAGGACAAAGAUUAAUCAAUUGAAAAAAGAAACAUGCUAGGGAUCUUAUUAAAUCCAUUUUAACCCAAAAUACAUGUAAUCAAUUGAAAACCCCAAAAUUAAAUUGAAUAAAAAAAUUUUCUCAAACUAUUAUCUAAUUUUUUUGACAAGAUAAAUAAUCCAAGCCGCAUCAAUAAUACUCCUCUCACCAAACCACGUGGUAAAUUGUUCAUCUUGGUUGACAAUGUUGUUUAUAAGAAAGUUAUUGAGAAUUUAGCCCACAUGAGAAUAGAAGAGAAAUUAAUUUAAGACUAUACAAUUAUAAAAUUGAUUUACUUAACAAAAGGUCUUAACUCAUGGCAAUCAAAUAACACAUAAUUAUGUGCUUGUCUUAAUUCAAUAUUUAUUAAAUAUUUUCAUGAAACUAUAUUUUUCGACAAUAGUCAUCCAGGAUGAGAAAAUAUUGAUAAAUUCUCACUCGAAGGCACUUCACCAACAUUAUUAUGUCUUAAAAUACGGUUGAUUUUUGUUUUCAUGUAAGGCUUAAAAUAGCACAAGAUACAUAUUAAAAUCUCUUCAAUAAUAUAAGUAUUGCAUAUCGAAAUCUCAACAUACACCUUUUUUUUUAACUUUUUCCUUAAGCUUGAACAAGUAGUUAUAUGAAAAGUAAAUAUAUAUUAAAUGAUUAAAUGUUUUUUAAAAAUAAAAUAAACACUUCGGAUGCAUAUAACUCUUAACCUCUCAAAUGGAUACAUCCAUCUAUAUUACACAAGCCUUUCAUAUUUUUCUUCAUACAUUAAAUGUAUGGGUAAAUGCUUCAUUUGGUCGAAGAAAAAAGGAGAAAAGAUCAUUUCACGUUGCUCCAUGUGUUGGGAACACAACUUAUUCAAGCAAACAUUUCUUAAAAAAUGACUAAUCUUUGUGAGUGUUUCACAUAUCUCUUUUAAAAAUAAAUCCCUAUAAGCAAUUAGAAUGAGUGUUAUAUAAACUCAUGACAUUUAUGACUCUUCAUUCCAUACAAUAUGUAUUCUUUAAGUUUAUCAAUAUAGUUAUGUUCAAAGCAUAUCCAUCAGAAAUUACAAACUCUUAAGCCAUUUAUAGACAAGAAAUUGUGCCUUUUUAUCAAAGACAAAUGUAGUUUUGAGCUUUAUGACAUGUACCCUAUCACUAAACAAUUUUAUAUUUUAAUAGUGACAAAACAGUUAUAUCCAUUGUAGCUUUUAUAUUGUAAGAAAAUGAUCGUUUAUAACUAUGUUAAAAAUAUUUUCAAACAUGUUAUUUUUUAUAUGCAUGACAUCCAAAUUAUGGUUGAUGAAAUUUUUUUUUCAAUAAGUAAGCUCCCAAAAAUAUAUUAUACUUUAUCCAAUUAUUGGUCACACAAAAACUAAAAAACUUCUACUUAACGGAUUGAAAAUCAAUAACAAUGUCCUUAUAUUGAGAGACUACAUCAUAUUAUUCACCUAAUAGUACUAGUGGUGUAACAUCCCCUUUGGUUUUACCCUUCAAAAAUUCCUUUUUGUUAUUUUUAUAUUGUUGAUGACUUGGCAAAAACCUCUUAUGGUAGUUGAAAAAGAAGCUUUACCACCAUUCAUUAAGGUGAAGGCCUUGUUGUUUUCCAUAUAAUAUGAACAAGCUAACUUUCUAUAUGUGUUCCAUCUAGAAACCAUCUCAUGCACUGGAAAAUUAUUUAUAGUCCAUAUUAAAGCUAUCUUCAUUUGGAAAUAUUGUUUUUCUUAAGACAUUAUAAGUUAAAGCUCCAAGUGACAAUUACUGAUUCAAAUCAAGAAUCAAAGAUUGAAGAUAAACAUCUAUAUUUCUACAUAGACUAUAUGGAUCAUGCAUGAUCAUAGAUAAGAACAUGAAUUUUGGUCAUAUAAGCAUCUUUAUAGGCAAGUUAUAAACUAUUAGUAUAACCUACCAAUAAAAAUAGAGUGUAACAAAAGACCCAAAUAGAUUGUACUCAUCGAUACAUAAACCAAGACAUAUGUUUUAUGGUUCCAUUAAAAAUUAAAAAUGCACCAUAUUAAACUACUUUUAAGCUUUACCAUUAAAAUGAUGCAUUAUGACUUCAUCCACCACAUCAUGUGAAUGAUGUCAUGUCAUUUUCUCUACUAUCUUCUAAGAUAUAAAUAAUCUUUAUAUCAUAAAAGUGAUCAAAAAGUAUCUUAGUUUUUUUAUAUAUGACAAGUGUCCUUCCUCUACCAAUAUUGGGUUUUUACCGAGCAUGCUUAUAGGUUUUGCACCCGAUUAAACUUACAUCUUUAAUGUAGUACAAAUUGUAAAACCUUAGGCCUAUAUCAAGUUUUUUUGUAUUCUAAGCUAUAGGGUUUAAUCAUGGAUUUUGCAACAUAAAAUUUCUUUUUCAACCUAUUCCCUUCAGGUAAAAUGCUUUUUGUCUAUUCAAUGAUGUUAUGAUAAUCAACCUAUAAUCUGGCUUAAAGGUAAACACUUAUGCAAUGACCAGUAAUUUAUUGUAAUUUAUGCACUCAUCCCAUAAUAGUUCGGUGAAGUCUUUUAAAAGUUUAGAAAACCUAGUUUCUUUUGGUUCUUCAUCUAUACAUGAACCUUCAUUUGAAUAAUCAUAAUUCAUUUUUAUUAUAUUCAUCACCAUACUCCUAUAAUGAUUAUUAAUAUCUUUUAGAACUUCAUGUAUGUCACUAAAACAAAAUGUUAAGCCAACAAUUCAUUCUAACAUGGUUUCAUAAGGAACACAAGAUUUUCCUUGUAAAACUAACACGUGUAUUUCUUUACAAAACUUUUUUUUUUAAGAUGCAUCAUCACAAUAUUUGAUUGGUGAAAUUUUUUUAUUUUCACACAUGAACAUCUAAUUUCGUCUUCACUAAUAUUCUUUGGAUUUGAAAGUAUGAAAUUAAUUAACCCCUAAUCCUUUUACAAUAAUUUUCCUAUACAACAUUUAGGGUGAAUCUCGAUACAUCCAAGAACGAUUAUCAAUUACUUAAAAACCCUAUAUAGAAUAUUAAUGAUAAUAUUUAUUAAUAAUAUAAUUAUCAAUUCAAAAUUCAACUUUGAUAAUUAAAAAUGAAUUCACAAUCAAAUAAUAAAUUAUCAUUUGUAUAAAAAUUCAAUGUUGCUUCAAAAUAUGAACUAAAUAAAUCAAAUUAACAACAAGUAAACAAAACGAACUAAAUAUCUAUCAUUUUCUCAAUUCAAACUGAUUCCAUAUAAAUUAAUGCAAUUUAAUUAUUAUCAAUUACAUAAAAAAAAAUAAUUUUCCCAAGAUUUCUAGCUUAACAAUAAUAUUGAUAAAAUGUAAUUGGUAUUCAUUAAAUAACACAUCAUUUCUUCCAAUAUAACAUACUUAAGUUAUAAAAUCAAACUUAAUUUAAUCAAAUUGCAAACAAAUUAAUUUUUUAUCAAAUACUAAACAAAGCAUAACAUGCAAAUCAUACUUUAAUACAAUAAAAUUAUAUAUGAAAAGGUUGUAAAACACUUAAAUAUAUAGACAAACUAUAAAUAGUAAAUAAAAAUAUCAAUAAAUUAAUCUAAAAUAUAAAUUGGUAUGUUUGUUUACUUGGUGUAAGGAAUAUUUAGAAAACAUUGAAUCAAGAUGAUGGUGUUGACACUAUUGAGUGUUGUUGUGGCCUUUGUGAGGAUGAGGCCUAAAUUUGUCGUGAAAUAGGGUGUAAGGGUUGUUGUUUUCUGCAGUUAAAGAAAAGGAGAAAAAGAGAAGAAGAAAAGGGGGAUGGAAUUGUUGUCGGUUAUAACACUUUUAAAUUUCCUCAAUCAUUUCGUUAGCAAAUAAUGAAGUGACAUGUUACCGACGGAAUCACUAACAAAAUGUUUCUUGAUUUUUUAAUUAUUUUUAUUCUAUCAACAAUUCCUUCAGUAAUUACCAACAUGACAUAUUUCAUCGUUAAUGACGCUAGUAAUGGCUAACAUAUAUUUUUUGUCAAUAUUGUCAUUGAACAUUACCAAUGAGAUAUUUUUUGUUGAUAAUUUUGUUGCUAUUUAAUACUUUUUCUAGUUGUGUCAAGGGUUCAAAAAGGGUUAUGAUAAGAGAAAAAUAGAAGGUUUAGUAAGAGAAAAAUAGAAGGUUUAGUAAUGGUUAGAUGUUAUAAAGAAGUAAUGACACAUUAUCUAUAUUGAAACGGAAAGUCAGAAACUUACUGUGUUAGUAGUUUUAAAUCCAUAAAAUGUCAACUUCAAACAUGGUGUUACUUAAUUGUAUGAUUUUUAAAAAAUCCGUACUAUUUUGUUUAAGGAUUAGAGGCCACUAGUUAUAUGACCCACACUUCACCGCGGGUCAGAUAAAUAUUUUUGAUAAAUAAACAAAAAAUAAAUAUGCAAGCUUUUCAAAUUUAUUUUUCUUUAAAAAUUUUUAAUUAUAAAUCAAAAGGCCUAUGAGAACUAUUUGUGUCAAUAAAUGCAAAAAAAAAAAAAAAAAAGUGUUAGCGUGUCUAUUCAACUUGUUUAGCUGCAUGUUGAAUUUUUUUUCAAUGUAAAAGAAUUAAUGUGUAAGUUUUAUUAACGCAUUUUUAUACAUCAAGUAAAAAAAUAUAAUCAUGAAUCAUAAAGUCCACGCUUACAUAUAAUAAAACAUAAUAAAGAUCAUAUACAUUAAUAAAAAUAUGUAAGAUCUCAAGCUAAUUUUAACGUAGAUAAAAAAUAAAACAAUGUUGCAAUUGCUACAGUGAAACAUCAUUUUCUUAGUCAGUGUAGAAUAAAAUUCCAAAAACAAAAAGUGUAUAAUUAGAUAAAAAAAAAUGAUUAAAAGAAUUGGCACCAAACUUGACAUAAAAAUUCAAUAAAAAGAAAUGUUCAUGGAUAAAAUUGAAUAAAAAUAAAAAAAUCAAGAAAAUAAUUGAAAAAAAUAGCAAUUAAAAGAAUAAGGAUCAAAUUUGAUAAAAAAAAAACUAACAAAAUCAAGCAAACAAGGAUGAAAUAAAAAAUAAAAUAUAAUUAGAAACAAUCAAUGUAAAUAAAACAAUUUCAAUUAAAAAAAGGACUUGAUCAAAAGAAAAAAGAAAGUGAAGGGUUGAUAUAAUUUUUUGCAUGGCCGACAGGCAAUCCGAUUAAAAAAAAAAAUUAGAAAAAAAAGAAGGUAAUUGGCGUUAAACCAGACCUCACGAUUAUAUAUGCACCAUCUAGAGAGGAAGUGGACGUCGAGACACAUCAAAUUAUAUGGCGAAAGUUUACUUUCAAAUAUCAAUAAUUACAAAAAGCUUAUAGUACUAUUAUUAUAAGAGAAUAAAAGAAAAAAUGAUGCCGCUUUCAAACUAAUCAAUAAUUACAAAUUAAUGAUAUGCAAAUAUCAUCUAUCCUUUCAAGUAAAGCUUUAAAAUUAAAAGAUGAAAGGUAAAAAGAUAACUUUAUUUCAGCACCGGAUACAUUUAACUGUGCAUAGAGUACACUGAAAAGUACACGCGGGGGUUUAGUAUUUUACUUAAUUAGAAAGCACUAGAAUUUUGGUGGGUGGUGAUUAAAGUUUAAACAGCAAAAGCAGAAUAAACAAGAGUACUGUUAAUUUACCGUAACCAGCUAGCUAUAUAUCACCUAGUUACUUUGUUUUCACAUGCGGCGCGUGUAUAUUAAGCGGCAUAUUGUAACUAUAUAUGUUCAUACACAAACAGGUCGCAAGUAACAGUUACCAAGACUUUCCGAGGAAAUAUCAUGGGUUCACAUCAAAGGCCAGAGGGCGAGGGGUGUGACUUGUGAGGAUAGGGUGGGUGGGUGGGUGCCCUUUUUAGACCUAACGAUAAAAGCCUAUAAAAAAAUAAAAUAAAUAAAAUAAAAACCCUAUCUGGGACCCCUUUGCCCUCUCUUUCAUCAUUUAUUCAGACGAAAGGUCCUCAUGCUUCGCCCAUUUAGGUAUAUAUAGUUGAUUAUUAAGCUGAAAUGCUACUGAUGUUAAUAAUGUGUAGGGGCUGCUGCUGCUAUUAGCAACUGUACGUGUAUAUAUGUUCAGUUCAGAACUGGGUAGCUAUAUAUCCAGCUAGGGUUGGACCAGUACUCCUAACUAGCUCUAGAGAUCCAACCACAGAAGAAACACAGAUCACUCGCACUAUGAUCCAGUCAAAACGAAGUGUUUGAUCUUCUUACAUACCCUCUGAGAAGUACUUAUUGUUUAUAUUUAUAUAACAUCUUUAAUUAAGCAAAUCCCCGUUUUUCAAUAGCUUCAAAAACUCAGCCACUUCGGAAGGGUCUCCAUGAACUUACGUGCCAACCAGGGAUAGCAGGAGGAGGAUGGUCAUCUAGUUAUUUAUUUAUUUAUUCAAAUAAAUCGUGUUCAUUUAUUAUUAACCAAUGCAUGGAAGCAUCAAGGAUGGGUCUCCAUCAUGUAGCUGGUGGCAAUAUCCCUUUCAUGAGGAUGAUAAUGGUAACAACUGUCAUGCCCCAUAGUCUAGGGCUAAGAAGCAUAGAGUGGGAGACAAAUUUCAUGAGGGCUAAGCUACUUGUGGGUUAAAUAAUGGUGUAGCGACUGGGAGAUACUAUUGCAGUGGACCCGUAUGUAGGGGAGGGGGACACAUGCAAAUCAACCAGGAAGCUUCAAAAGGAACUUCAAUGGAGGCGAGGAUACCCAAAUAAUUCCUUUUUCAAAUAUUAUGGGCAGUAAACAAGGGGCUUCAAGCACUAAUUGGAUUAGCAGCUGCUGCAGCAGCAGUGUAGCAGCAGCCGCAUAUAUACGUGUGUAUGCAUAUAUAUAUAUAUAUAUAUAUAUAAAGUCCAGAGGCCAGAGCUACCACCAGCAGCCUCCUCUUCUAUAACCCCACACUAGGAGUCUGUUGCCUCUGCCUCUCUGAGAAACCGUUGAGCCUCUCUGGCUGUUAAAUCGCUUUCGCUCUUCAUUAGAUGACACAGAGCCCAUGGCUAACUUGGCUAGCCCCUUCAUUUAUUCAUGUUUGUGGUGCCAUAUAUUAAUCAAUACGAAUCUCUUCUAAGUUUUCUAUUUUUUUUUUUUUUUGUCAAUUCAGCACUUUUUUUCCAUAUUUUUUUCUUGUGUAAUCUAAUUAAAAAAAUUAAAUAAAUGUGAUCACACCAGUGUUUUAAAACUCGGACUGGCCCGACGGGUCGAUCCGGGAGCCGGCCGACCCGGGCAUGGGACCGGUCCGGGUGGAGGGCAAAACCCACUUGGAAAUUAGCCCGGUCAGACCCGGUCCACCCGGCCAGACCCGAGUGAGACCCGGCCAAUUUUUUUUUAUUUUCCCUGUCAUUAAACGAUGUCGUUUAAUGACAUCUGAAGACUAAAAUCCUAAAACGUUGAACACUAAAGACCCGGUCACUUUUGCUUCACAAGAAAACAACACCGAAUAUCAAACUUUGAAGCCUGAACAGAAGAUAAUUUUGCUUCACUCUAUAGCUAAUAAUCUUGAAAAUAUUGGUGAGUUUUCUAAAACAUUAAAGAAAUUCAAAUCAGAAGUCAAAUUUGAGGUAUGCAAAACAAAUUUACUCACUCUCUCUUUUUUUCUUGGCUUAUCAAAUUAUGCAAGUUUAUUCACAGAGAUAAAAUGAUUGGAUUUUUGUUUGUGUUUUGAGUUGAAUAGUGCUGAUACCCUCUUGAUGAGGGCAUCCUCCAUGGAUUCCACCACUGUAACCAGGCAUGAACAGGUUAAUUCAGGCUUUCCAAGGAUCCACAAAGCUCAGAGUGCACAAAUACCCAGCAGCUUCAUGGAGCAGGAGGGAAUUUCUGCUAAAGGAGAUCAAUUUCUGGGUGGGAUUUCAAGCACAGCUUCCAAACAUAAGGUGAGGAUCUUAAAUUGGAUGACGAAAAACAUGGAAUCGACUUGUGUCUAUCUAGUGAAUGAAAUUAAAUUCUUCCGGUAUAUCUUUGCAGGCCAGAGAAGUUGCAAGGCAAGUUGCUAAUAUUGAUCUGCCUAAGAACGUUGCCAAGGAAUCUGUAAAAGACGGGAAAAUAGUUCAGGGUAUGAACGCAAAGCCGACUGUGAAGUCGAGAUCAAAUGGCUCGGCUGGCAAUGGAAGGUGGGGCCGUUUCAUUCACCUUGAAACACCUACAUCAAGCCAUACAUCGACUCCUCCAUCUGUUUAUCUUUUCAAUUUAGUCGUGGGUCUGUUUCUGUUCUUAAUCAUGCUCAAAGAAGUGCUGAUUG
rnacentral:lncRNA from 1 species